AAUAUUGUCACGUCAUACAAAAAAAAAUCAGAACAAAUUUAUCUUAAAAAGGAUUGAAAAAUUAGUAUUUAUAAAAAUAUAAACAAUCACUCACUUGGGUAAUGUACUAAUUGAUAAACAAAAUAAUAUUAUCCCACAUCUCAUCAUCAUUAUUCAUUUAUUCAGAUCAGUAUAUAGUUGACAGCAGAAUCAGCCCUAUAUGCUGCCCUAUGUAUGUAUACGUAUGUAUGCAUGUAUGUAUAGUAUUGUAAUGAAGAGGUUUUAGCACUGAGGAUAUGCAACUCCACAAGCGUUCCCAACAGUUCUAAUAAUGGGGUUAUCAGCAAAUUGUCUUAAAGAUGGGUCGUUAAGGUACCCACAAAAGCAUGGCGUCUGCUCCCUCAGCCUGCUGCAACAGGUUUCAGAUGGAGGCGUGGACGACAUGACCGCCGCCAAGCAUGGGCUGAGCUCUAUGGGGUUACAUGUCACUGCCGCCUCUGCCCACCGUGUUUCACCCGAAAACGCUGGGGCCGCCACCACCAUGAGUGACAGUACCGCACUUAAGGCAACAUAUGAAAACCUCUUCAUCUUUGUUAUCAUAGUGGAGGGUGGUACCAUUUAUAGGAUUUGGAUUGGUAAUUUGCUGUGAGACAUUAGAGCAUGCAUUAUUUAUAUACGAGUGUGGGAUUAUGAUGGGGGCGUUUCCCCACACGAUUUGAGACCCCAACUAAAAUCUUAUUUGGUUAAUUUUGGGUUAAGUUGUUGGCACCUCUCUUUGUGUGAACAAAUUAACCAAAGCCAAUAACUCUAUAUUAUGAUGUUAUUGAUUGAUUUUACUCUCAUUUCUCAACAGCAUCAAAUGUAAGUAAUAUAGAAGCAUUCAUUCCAUUGGGACCGUCUUAUGAAUUCCAAGUUUGUCUAAAAUUAGUAUCAAGUUGGUGAGUCAAAAAUCAAAUCAAAUUCUAAUUUAAUUGAAUUCAAUUUAAAUAAUUUAGAGACUAUUCAAAUCCAAAGUACUUAAUGCCUUAAUUGAUUUUAAAAUCGAAAUGAUUUAUUUUGAAGUGACCUAAAUUUUAAAUAUUUUAAACUCAAAAUGAUCUAAACUAAAUUAAGAUAAAAAUAAAAACUCGUGCAAAUUGACGUCUAAUUCUAAAUUCAGACACCAAAUAUUUAUUGGCAAAUAAAAUUUUAUUAACAAUCUAGUUUGAAUGCAUUAAACACGAUUUAAAUUAUCCCUUGACAUCUAAUUCUAAAUUCAGAUAUCAAAUAUUUAUUGAAAAAUAAAAUUUCAUCCAUUGUACACAAAAACUUUUUAGAUUUGGUUCCAGAAAUUUUCCAAGACGGAACCAACCUAUUCAAAUGGUGUAUUUCAUUGUUAAAAAAUAAUUAAAAACCUUUUUAUUUAAAUUUAAUUAUAACAAUAAAUAAAUAUUAAUAUAAAUAAUAGUAAAACAGAACAAACCAGCUCCACAGCUGCCGUGCACACUAAAGUCACUUUUCCCGAAAAGAAACAAUUAGCAAAUCUUUUGCUACUUUUGCAAUCUUUAACCAUUUUAAUUUUAUUCAUUUUUUUCUUAAAAUUAUUUUAAAUUAGUUAUUUUACAUUUUUAUUUGGUUAAAUUAUUUUUGACUAAUUUACUCAAAAAGCCAUUAAACUAAGUACAUGCCAUUCAAAUAAGCUGUUAUACUUUUUUUAACCAAAUAAAUCUUAUUCUUUCGUUUUUACUCAUGAAAUCCUUCCAUCAACUAAACGUAAAAAAAUUACUUUCGUAUGACCCAAAUACUCAAAUUGCAAAUAACAUUCUUGGAAUAUUAAAUUUUUCAAUAUUUAGAUUUAGUUUAAAAAAAAAUUAAUUGGUUAAAAUAAGUUUAAUCAUGCUGAAAAUUUUAAGUUAAAUCAUUUAUAACCAAUACAAUUGAUCUGCCUAAAAAUUUUAAAUAUUUUUAUAAAUAUUUUUAUAUCCAUUUUACUAUUCAUGUUUUAAAAAUUUGUGAUUAACUUUCUAAUAAUAUAUUAACCUUUACUUUUAAUUAUUUCAAUAAAUUUUUUAUUUACAAGUUUUUAAGCUAUUUAUUUAAGAGAAAAUAUUUAAUACACUACCAAUAAAAUUUGAAGUUGACAAAUGUCUAAAAAUAUAGUAAAAUAUUAAAUAAAAUAUUCUUUUAAAAAGAAACACAAGUCAAAAUUUUAAAAAUGCUUGUGAAAUAAAAAAGAAAAGUAUACUGCGCCCAUGUACUAAAUACUCGACAUUUAUUUAAUAAAAUAAACAGAUUUAUAAAUUAUAUAAUUAGUUAAUCAAUUAAAAUAAUUAAAUAAAUAUAUAAAACAAAUCUUAAAUAUUAUAAAAAAUAUAAAAGUAAGUUAUCCAAUGCACUAGAACUAGUGUAUUUUCCACUGCUACAGUAUAGAAUAUCACAACAACUAACUAAUGACCUCAUCAUCCCUGUUACUUUUAAUCUUACCCAAAUGGACCCUCCAAGAUCAAGAGUCAACUUAAAACAGGAAAUUUAAACAUUGCUGCAACACGUGCUACAUUCAUUAUUUUAAACGUUCGUGGAAAUCAAAAGAGCAUGGCCUUCCUGAGCACUUCUUUGUCCAACAAACAACAUCUAUGUCUUCAACGUUGAGUAAAUAAGGCAAUACUGGAUCUCCUUGCCUAAGCACAAUGGAUUUGGUCGGACCAAUCCUACUAUGCUACUCGCUAUUAAAAACCAUCCAAUAUGUAACGCUAUCACAUGUCAUAAUUUAAUCAAUCCUUCUAGGUAAUCUCACUCAAUCCUGUCAUAUGCCUUAUUCAUGUCUAACUUCAAUGCCAUCUGAACCAUUUUAUCAGUACACUACCGUAAGAAGAAUGACCGGGAACUCUGCAGAGUUCAUCUCUACCAACCGAAAACAAAACAAAGCAAUGACAAAUAAUGCUUUGAUCAUGGGAGUUUAGAAUGCAAUGUAUACCAAAAAAUGGGUAAGAAUGAUAAAACCAGAGAACAUAGUUUGGCUUGUAAUCAACAUGCACAACCACUUCUUUGCUCGGUCUCUGUCAUGGCCUCUGGGAUGCCCUGGAAAUAUCUGCAUUCAUACACAAAUAGGAAAAUAGGUCAAAGAAAAAAAGUUAUUUUCUGCAUAGCCUGGUCAAAUAUCUUUAAAAACUUGAAAACAUCUAUGCUAAGACGAAGUACACAGACACCAAAUAUAUUAAGGUGAAGUGGAAGAAGAAAACAGUUUUCCUGUAGUUACAAUAAAACAAAAAAUUACCCACGACAUGAUAUCAAUAUUUUAAAAAUAAAAUCUAUAUCCUACAGAAAUAAAUAGUAAAUUGGUUGUGACGAUUACACAAGAAUAUGCCAAUGAGCUAUAACAUAUGUACUAAAAAGACUUUAAAAAGAAGCAAUAAAAGUAACAACAGCAUCUAAACUGCUAAAAAAAAAAAAAACAAACACCACAGCCCAAAUUAAGCAUGGUAGAACAGCACCAUGAGAAGAAAGCUUAUGAACAUCCACACACAAUCAAAUAAUUAAGAAAAAUAUAACAGAAGAAGUAGGUUGUAGGUAAGAACUCUGAUAAUUGUUAUACGAUCUAUAUGGCUGUAAAAUUAGGUCAUAUUUAAUUGAAUGAGUACUGUGGAAAAUAAUGAAAUCAGCUAUAUGAUUAAAGACACAUUUCUUUGAAUCAAUAUCAAAAUUUUUAACCUUGGCCAAAGAAAAUACACCUCAUCAUGAUUCUCAUGAAACUAUUACCUUCAAAUUUUGUUUAUUGUUAUUUCCCCAAUCACUUACCCCCAUUAUUCUGUCCAUAAGCACCUUACCAUUUGACUACAUACUCUAGUACAUCUUUCCUAAUGAAGCAAUAUAUAUAUAUUGAUCUACUUAGAGAUAGGAUUAUAGUAACAUAUUUCCGCGGUAUUAUUGAACCAUGUCCAGAUCAGCAACUCAUUAAAGUUAGGAAAUAUGGGUCUACCUGAGGCAUGUCAUUAUGAAAUACAUAAUAUUGUCACUCCCACACAAUGAAUUUGAUAUGGCAAGGCAAAUCAAUCAGCAUCCAAACAGGAUUUCUAGGUGAUAACGUAAUUUGUACACCCUUAAUGUAGUCUGAUUCACAAUACAAUGUUGGAGAUAUCCUCUGUUUCCCUACUAUUAACUAUUUAAUGUCACAAAAGUAUAUAAAAGAUCACAGCUAUGCCGUAAAAUUGCUAGAGAUAUGAAGGUCUGAAUCUGCAGUGCUGAAGAAAACCAUACUCCUUUCUGGGCCAACAACACCAUGCUGGAAAAAUACUAAUUUAUAUGCCAAUGUUCACUGAAAAAAAAAAAAACAGAAUAUGCUUCAAGAUAAACUUACAUGUCCUGCUCGAGCUCAUUUGCUAGAGCAGAUUUGGAAAUAGAAAGGAAUGCAGCAUCAACAUUGAUAUCUUCUUUUGCUGAUGUUUCAAAGUAAGGUAUGUUUCCUUUUGAAGCACACCAAUCUUUUGCUUUCUUCUCGGAUACCUACAUGGGCUCAAGAUGCCACCCAUUAGGCUGAGGUGUGAGGAUAAAGGAAAAUUAGGUCGUAUAAAACCAUAUACCCUUACCACUCGACUAUUACCACCAUCAAUAUCUAUUUUGUUUCCAAGCAACAUAAACGGAAACGUCCUGGGAUCUGUUGGAUUGGCCUGGCAUGAAAUGAAAAUGGAAACAUUUAAAACAGAUGGUAAUCACUUCCAAAGAAAUUCAUAUAAAGUUUUAGAGGGAUGAAAACAAUUAACACAAAAGAUUAAUCAACCUCAGAAAUUAAAUUGGCUGUUAGGAAAGAUCACGUGCAUUGAAAGGAAAGUAGGUCAAGUUGAGCACUUAACUGUAGCAUCAGCAAUAAAUGUUUUAUCCAAUUUCUAGGUUUAACAUGAUGGAACAAGGCAUCAAGAAAAGAAAUUUCACAUUCCCAUAAGAAUCAGCAUUUAUUGGAGAUUCUAUUACAAAAUUACCUACAUACUUCUUCUGAUCUGUUUAUAGUAAACCUAUACUUCUACAAAACUGUUCUGACUAGUUGACACAGAAAUGUUUGAAAAACAGGAAUUGAUGACCAACAGAACAGCCGAAUGGCAACAAACAAUAUCAAUAAGGAAACCAAUAUGAACAUUUCAGUUUAUAAAACUCACUCCACUGAAAAGAGGCAAUUUUCCACCUAAAGAUUGGGUAAGCAAUUAAAAAUUCUCUGUUUCUUUCCUGUUCAAAAAGUGUAAAAGUUAAUAAUCCUGAAAUGAACCAAAAGAAGGCGAACUGAAAAGGCAAAGAUAAAAUCAGUUAUGACAACAUGAGUGAGGUCAAAAUUAUAGAAAAAAGAAAGUGAAAAAAAAGAAUCAGUGAGUCCACAACCACAAUCUGAAAAACUAGGUUGAAUAGCGUAUUUGAAUUUGUGCAACCAAUAAUAAUUCCAGUGUCAGUAUAAGCAAGAAUUUGGAAGCAUACACCCCUAACAAGAAAAAUCUCAUGUUUCUUUUAAAUUUACUUCAUGUCAUGUGCGCUUUGAAUAAGUACCACCCUUUACCCUAAGAAAACAAAUUUUCAAAACAAAUUUCCUUCUUUGUAACAGAUUGGCAAGAAUGUCUAUGGCAAAAUCUAUUAGAGCGGUUUCAACCUUUGAGUGUAUCCACAAGCCAUUGCUUCAACAAGAGCUUAACGAUGUAAAGAAAAUUUUAAGGUGAAAAUAAGAAUAAACAUCUCAGGUUCCACAUUUUUCUGAACUCUCUAGAUAUUUAUGGCUAAACUGAAGCAGCUAUCUCAAACUCCAGCAAUCCACUAGUCUAGAGUAAAUCACUUAAGUAGGCUACAUAGAUAAUGAUAUUGGAGAAAUUAAGGCCAUAAAGAAAACGAACAAAUUCAAACUCAAAAUCAACUACAAAACCAUUAGAGUUUCAAAUAAAAAAAAAUCUAGUAGAAAAGGAUGGUUGUCAGCAUUGAUGUGAACGAAGAACAUGCAUGCCAAAGAGACAAAGAGAAAGAGAGAAGCCUUACAAGAAAAUCAAAAUUAUAAAUAAAUAGUUACUUGAUAGCUUAUAAAUAACUUGCAGUGUUGCAGGAUGAAUUCCAUAUUUAGUGAGGUUGGCAAAGUUAACUUGGAAUUGUAUGCAUUACUUGCCUACAUUCCUUUGACCAAAAAAAUAUCUCUACGCUAGAUUUAUCAUGGAAGGGGUAAUAAAAGCUGUACGAGCCAAUAAAUCUAAAACACUGCACAUUCUUAUUGACAUUAUCAUAAUCGUGAUAAUGUUAUAGAGGCAUAAAACAACUUAAAUUAAAAGCGCCAUUCAUCAAGACACGCCAAAACAUAAUUCACUAAAGAACUGAAACGAUCAAGGAAAGUAAAAUGAACAAAUAGAGAAAGGGGCAAAGAAAAACCUGCUUAAGAAACUCAUCAUGCCAAUUAUCAAGGCUAUCAAAUGAUUUCAUCACAUUAACAUCAUAAACUAGCACACAACAAUCUGCACCCCUAUAGAAGGCAACUCCGAGACUCUGAAACCGCUCCUGCCCUGCAGUAUCCCAUAUCUAUCCAAUGCAAUGCCACAAAAGAAAGGAAAAAUAAAAUAAAAUACAUAAACAUACUAUCCAUGGAAACUUCAAAAUUAAGUUAAGAAGAGUAUAGAAAUACUCAAAGAUUAAAACCCUACUUGCAGAGUGACACGGCGAUCUUCAAUCUGGAGUUCCUUAGUGACAAAAUCAGCACCUAUUGUUGCUUUAUAUUGCUGACUGAACUUCUUAUGAACAUAUCUAAAUUCAAGAAGUUAAUUCUGACAACGACGUAACUUAUAAAAUCAACAUUUAAAUAAAUAAACAAAAAAACUAACGACCUUAACACAAAGUUUAAGAUCUAAAAUUAUCCCUAAAAAAAGAACAGAAAAUUUACAAAAAAAAAAGGACUAUGCGAAGAUUAAAAUUCAAUUACUGUUGAAAGGAUACUGAUUCAUCAAUGACGUCUUACCCACCCUGAAAUUGAUAAUAACCCAUUAAUCAAACAAAUUUUAAGAAAUCCAAAAAUUCAUCGUUUUAGUUGUAAAAAGAAAAAGCCAUAGAAAUUGAAAUUGAGAACGACAUACCCGCUAUCGCCGAGAACAAUGACCUUGAGCAAGGUUCGUCUUCGCAUUGCCAUGGCGGUAAAAUUAACGGCAACUAUUUGGUUUUGAUUUAUUAGAUUUGAUUUACCUUUUUUUUAUAAAAAAAAAAAACUUAAUUAUCACGCCUUUGAAUUCUUUUGGGAUGCUUUAAAUUUAUUGGUACAGCUCUAUGGAUUUACCUAAUAUAUUUGUAAAAGCUAUUGAAAAGAAAUUUCCUUUUUUUUUUCCUUCUUUACUUUGCUCCCUUUUCUGCACUAGAAAUUUUUUUUUCCUUUUGGCUGAAAAGAAGCGCCAAAUUUCCAUUUCUUUUUCCAUAUUACUAGGUGAAAUUAUGGUUUUUUUUUCUGCAUAUUGUAUUUAAUUUAGUUUUUAUAUUUAAUUUAAAAUAAUUUAUUCUUUUAUGAAAUUAAAAAAAAUGUUUAUUUUUUAAUAUUUAAGGAAUAUUAUUUUGAACAUAUUUUUGUUUGUUUAUAUUUUUAUACUAAGUUUAAAAAAUUUAUAAUGAUUUAUUUGACUCAAAAUGCUAAAAAAAUCCUUAAGCAUUCUUUUAUUCAAUUUUAUGAAAAAAAUUAUUUUAAUCAUUUAUUUAAUUUUUUUAUCUAUUAAACUUGUAUUGUUUAUCAAAUUAUCUAAAAUAGAUAAUAAAAAAAUCUAAUAUUUGUUGAUUUUACUGAUGUAGCAUUCAUGUGGCAAUCUACUUGUAUGCUAUGUUAGUAAUUAAUUAAUGUUUUAAAAUUAAAAAUAUCAAAAAUGUAUUUUUUAUAUAUAUUUUUUAAAUAUUUUUUAUAUAUUUAAAAUUAAUUAAUUUUAAAAAAUUAAUUAAUUAUUGAUUUGACAUUUACUUGACAAUCCAUGUAUAAAAUUAACAAAUGUGAACAUUUUUUUAUUUAUUUUUAAAGAAUUUGACAAACAGUAUAAGUUUGAACACUAAAACAGAUACAAAAUUAAAUUGAAAACUAUUUUUUUUUAAAAAGUUGGAAACACCAAAUAAGUAAUUAUAUCUUUAAAAAAUACAUGCACAAAAUAAAAAUAAAGUCUAAAACAUCAUUAUAUUCAUUAUCUCAAAUUUACCAUUUUAAUUAAAAAUUUUCAAAUUUUUUAUAAAUUUAUUAUAUCAUUUUUUUCACCCAUGUAAUAUAAUCUAAUUAUUUAUAGAAAAUUUUGAUUUAAAUCACUGAAAUUAUUAAAAAAGUUUUGUUAAUCGGCGACUGUGGAAUUCCUUUUAUAAUCUUUAAAAUAAUUUAAUAACGAUAACUAUUUUAAUAACCAUAAUUUCAAUUUUCAAAACACAUAAUAACUAUUAUAAUUGUACUUCUUGUAAUAUAUGUUUGUAAACUUUAAAUAGAAUUAUGCCACUAAAGCCUUAAUAUGGUUCGGGUAAGCUCAUGAGAAAAUUAGUGAUUUUGUAUGGUUUAAUUUAAUAAAUUAUUGAAGAUUAUAAAAAUAAAAGAUGUUUAAAAAUUUAAUUUAAUUAAUUUAAUAUCAAUUUUUGAAUUAAUACCUUACAAUUUUUUAAUUUUUUAAUCUGAUCGAUUGAUCUAAUCUAAUUUAAACAAUCAUAUGUCUAGAGACGAAUUUUAGGAUGGGGAGACAAAGAUUUUGGCCUCUCAAAAAAUAAAAUAAAAAUCAAUUUAGUCUUAUUAUAAAUAGAAAAUUUAUAAAUUAAUUUUAGUGAAAUUAUAUUUUGGUCUUCUUAAAUUGAAAAUUUUUCAAUUCAAUCUUCUUAUAAAUAGAAAAAUUAUAAAUUAAUAUAUAAAAAAAUACAUUUUAACCCUCCUAAAAAUAAAAAAAUUUCUAUUUAAUACCUUAAAAGAUGAUGAAUACAUGAUAAAUUUAUAAUUUUUUAAUGAAAAAUUAUAAUUAAAAUCUUGUCACUCCUUGAAGAAAUUCUAAAUUCAGCCGGGAGCAUGCAGCUCAAACAAAUCAUACCGCCUUGCAGAUGCUGUAUCUCCAGCCUAAUAAAACAAAUUUGUGAUCAGUGGGAUUGGAUAGACAAUGAACCUGUUCUGUACAAAUUCUUAAUCACCCAUACAUAAUGCUUCCAUGGCAUCAUAUGCACUACCCUUAAAACAAUCACAUUAUAAACAAUCUACCCUCCAAUCAAAACAUACCACCAACUAGUUGCUUAUUAAGCUUGGUUAAACAAGGAAAAAUAAUAUUUCAGAAGAAAAAAAAAGCAUUUGAGGGUUCGGCUCAUGGAAAUAUAUCUUUCAUAAAUUAAAAAUAAUAAAAAGAAUUAUUAUAUUUUUUAUUUCACAAAUAAUUUUAAAAAAAAUUAUUUUUUUAUAUUUUAUUAUACAACCAAAUAAUUUUCUAUAAAUGGGAAAUAAAAAAAUACACCUAGUAUCAAAGACUAAUAUCUAUUUAUAUUACUCUAAUUUAAUUUUAUAUUUUCCUUUUUAAAAGAUAAUUUACAACAUUCUAGUAUUUAAAUAUCACUAUUUAUUGGCGAAAAAACUCGAAUACGAAGUCGGAUAACAAUAUCGGUGUUGCGGUACACUGACUACAAAUAGUAUCCUUCUGAUCAUCUCUCUCUUCCUGAUAGCCAAACGAUGGCUGGUAUUCCGAUCAGAUUCGGAAUCAUUGGGUGUGCCGAGAUAGCCCGCAAAGUUUCUCGAGCUAUCCAGCUUGCUCCUAACGCCACUGUCUCCGCCGUUGCCAGCCGCUCCUUCGACAAAGCCGCCAAUUUCGCCAAGGCUAAUGGCUUCCCACCUGACACCAAGAUCUACGGCUCCUACGAGUCCCUUCUUGACGACCCCGACAUCGACGCCGUUUAUUUGCCUUUACCCACUAGCCUCCACCUCAAAUGGGCUGUUUUGACGGCUCAGAAGAAGAAGCAUCUGCUCACGGAGAAGCCCGUCGCCUUGAGCGUGGCCGAGUUUGAUCAGAUUCUAAAGGCUUGUGAAGAAAACGGGGUUCAGAUUAUGGACGGUACCAUGUGGGUGCAUAAUCCCAGAACCCAUAAAAUGAAGCAGUUUUUAAACGACAAGGAGCAGUUUGGUCAGCUUAGAACGGUAAAUACAUUACUGGGUUCUGCUCAUUUUAAGGUUUUUUCUUUUGUUUAUGUAGUUCACCACUUUCCUGCUAGGCCAUAGGAGAUAGUUUAAAGCUCAAUUUAAGGUGUCAUAUGCCUUAUCAUUUUAAUAUGUUAGGCAAUGGAAUGGCGUCAUCUUCUUAAUAUCUAUGAAUAUCCAAUUCUGUAGGUGUAUCUUGCCUUUCUAAAUAUUAGCAGCUUGUUUUACUUUAGAAAUUGUAUGUCUUUGUUUGGAUGAUCCUGUUAGAUAUUGUUUUUUUUUUACUCAAUUUAAAAUGGGUUCUGUAGAGAUGUGAAGAAGAGUUUGGUAAGAUAUGGGGUUAAUGAGACAAAGGAAGCAUAGAAAUUGGGUUUUGUUUUAGGGCUCGGGUUUAAUAUUUGUCUAUCGGUGCUUUGUGCUAUUUGUCAUCUUUAUGAUUAUAGUAUAUGUUUCUCUGUCAUCCAUGUAUGUAGGCAAUUAAUUAAGCCCAUUAAAUAUAGCCUCUUGUGUGAAUGAGUUGAUGUCAUAGAUCCUAUAUUAUUGUUCGUCCAGAACCUAGUGCUUUUCUUGAACUCCUCUUCAACUGAGCUUGUUAUUGUUAAAACAUGAAACACUUGUACUCAAUGAAUCAGAGCCUAGUUCCUUGUUGGACUGUGAUUCGUUUAUUUCUGUUGCGGGUUGUUUGGAUUGUUUCGGGAUGGAAAAUCUAAAAACUUGUUGGUUUUAGAUGGAGAAGAAAAACAAAACAGUACCGAUGAUCUAGAUAUGUGAAUGUUCAUUGUACCCAGUGAUAUGAACUUUCCUUUACCAACGAAGUGAUAUGAAGUUUUGAGUUUUUAUAGCCACUGGAAAUAAGCUUGCUUGUCUUUGUACUAAGGGUUUUGUAAAGGAUAAAGUAAAUGAAUGGAGAUAAUAUUUCAUUCUGAAGCAGAGCUUACAAUAAUGGCUCUAGAGCACAGCCUUUAAGAUACAGUUGCUUAGCAUUUUCAUAAGUUCCUAUAAAUUCACAGAAGCCUUAUAGUUAUAUAUGCACAUAUAUAUGUGUAGGCAUUUUGUUUGUGUAUGAAAAAGAGAAUUAUUGUUUGUAUGCUUGCAUUUGGAUGUUUGCAAAACACUCAGCCUUCCAAUGUCUGAACCUACUCCUUUAGCACUCUUAUCCUACGUUUGGUAGGAGUAUUAUUUUUUACAUAUGUUUUAGCAUAUGAGUUAGCAGUAAAUUAAUUCAAUUGGUACUAGUUAUCCACUCCCAUGAAUUCUUUUUAGUAAAGGGAAUGGAAAAUAUUUCGUUUAUUUUGAAGAAGUCUUAUUUUUUACAAGAGUUUUUACUUAUCUUUCUGAUUUCAAGUUUAAAUUUGUAUUAACUAUUUUUUAUUUUAUGUUUAACUAUUGUAAUACAUAUGUAAUAAAUAAGAUUUUUACUAAUGUUAUUACACUAGUAGCCAAACGGAGCAUUAAUUUUUUAUCGCCAUUUGUGAGAUUAGUUGCUGCUGUUUCACAUGAACUAUUACUUAUACAAUGAUAAAAUUUAUCUGGAGUGAAUUCAAAACUUUUGUGGUUCCCUUCAGCUAGAUUUUUGAAAGAACCUAGUUCAUGGUAAAGCCUGUUUCAGAUAGACUUGCAGUGAUAUAUUUUAUUUCAAUUGUUGCUAUUAAUGUCCAAAGAUUGGUACACUUCCACAAAGUAUGCCUGAAUAAGGCAUAAAUAUGUGGUAAAAUGGCAUAUCUGACGGGUUUUGAAGAGAGAUACAGGACACAAUGUUGAGUGUAUGCGCCUCUUAUCUCUUCAUAAAUUUGUGCUUCUUCAGAAUGUUAUCUAAUUGCCUUUUGAUGCGGUCUAUGAUUUUAUGAUAAGAUGCUAUAUUGAUUUGGUGUCCUUGCAUUCUAAAUUUAUGUAUUUUUUACCUUUGACUUUCUCAGGUAAACAGUUGCUUCACAUUUUUUGCCGAUCCGGAUUUUCUCAAGAAUGAUAUUCGUGUGAAGCCAGAUCUUGAUGCUCUUGGAGCUCUCGGUGAUGCCGGGUGGUAUGGCAUCAGGUCAAUCUUGUGGGCAGCUGACUAUGAGCUACCGAAAACUGUUACAGCCUUCAGAAAUCCAGUUCUAAAUGAAGCAGGUGUACUACUAGAGUGUGGAGCGUCACUACUUUGGGCAGAUGGCAAAAUUGCAACCUUCCAUUGUUCUUUCUUAUCAAAUUUGACAAUGAAUCUCACUGCUAUAGGAACAUUGGGAACACUACAUCUUACAGAUUUCAUCAUUCCUUACCAAUAACACCAGGCAUCAUAUACUACAUCCGCAAAACCUGGAUUUAACGAACUUGUAACCGGAUGGGUGCAACUUCCGAGUGAGCACACUGUCACUGUAGAUCUACCUCAGGAAGCCUGCAUGGUGAGAGAGUUUGCCAGCUUGGUUGCAAAUAUUAAAAAGAACGGAGCACAACCGGAUAAAAAGUGGCCGACAAUCAGCCGGAAGACACAGUUGGUUCUGGAUGCAGUGAAGGCGUCGAUGGAGAAAGAUUUUCAACCUGUUGAAAUUGUGGGUUAAUAUGUUUUUAUCAUUUGAUUGAGCUUUAUCUAUGCUUGUUUGAAUUAUCUGUUUCCCCACGAGACUGCAUGUUGUGCAUUUGCUUUGUAGCAUGAAAUUUGAACUUAAUUUUAGUGAUUUACUCCAAACCAUUUAUUUUAGUUAUUUAAAAUUUUGCCCUCAACAACGUUUAUAUUUUCUGAUUGUUAUUUUUUUUGAAGUUAAAUUUGACCUUUAAUUAAAAAUGAUGAUUGAAGCAGUAAAUUGUAAUAUUUGUCACAUCAUAUUUUUAAAACUAAAAACUAAUGAAUAAUUAAAAACUAAAAAAAAAACAGAAAAAAAGUUGGUUGUGCCCCUUUUUGCAAUUUUAGUGCUAUAUUUUGUUAUCUUAUAUAUCCCGUGAGUUGCAUGAAUUAAUUGUGUAUAUAAUUUAUUUAUAAUUUAUUAUAAUGAAAUUUUAAAGAUAAAACCGUUAUAAUAUAUAGAUAUAUAAUUAAUGAUUUAGAAUCUAUAUAUAGAGAUACAAUAUAUACGAUAAAUAGUAUAAAUUUUUACCCAUUAAUAAUUAAAUAUUAUUAAAUCAUUUUCUGUGUUUGUUAUAAUUUUUAUGAAUAAUGUAAAAAAAAAUUAAUAAGCUAUAUUAUUAUGAAAGAUGCAAAAUAGAUAUUUGAAUAUAAUAUAAAAGGAUACGAUUAUUUUAUUUUAUAAAUAAAUACUUAUUUUUUAACUAUCUCAUUACAAGUUCUGAUCAUAGUGCUUCAGCAAUAUAUUUCAACGCAUUCGAGUUCACAUCCUCUUACAUUGACAAUAAUGUCCAUACUAAUCGAGCUUUAGAAUUCAAUCCGCAUAAAUAAAUACUUAAAUCAGUGAUAAAAUAUUAUUCAAUAACCUCCACUGCUGCUUAAAAUAUAAUUCUUUUGUAAAAAGGCUAACUACUAAAAUGAAUCAUCAAUUCUCUAAUAUACCAGGUUGCAAAUAAUGAUAUGUUAGAAAAAAUAUAUAUAAAAUUAAUAAAUAUAAUUUUUUUCAAGUUUAUAACAUUAUUAUAAUUUUUAAAAUAUAUUACUAUUGAAAACAUUUAAACUUCAUAUAAAAUUUUAAAUAUAUUUUUAUUGAUUGUUUUAGGGAUUUUCAAAUUUCAUAUAAUUUUUUAUUUUUAAUAAAGUUUUCGUUUUUAUUUUUAAAAUUUUUAAUAGUGUUUAUAAAAAUAAAAUACAUAUAAAUAUUUUAAAAAAUGACUAAUUAAAUAAUAUUUUAUUUUUAAAGGUUUUUUUAGUAGUAUUUGUUUAUUUUUUUAAAAUUUUGUAUAAAUUUUAAAUUUUUUUAAUAAUUUUUUAAGCAUUUUCAUAUUAUAUUUUUUAGAAUUAUUAAUUUUUAUAAAAUCUAAUAUUUUAUUUUUUAAACACUAUUGAUUUUUUAAUUAAAUAAUUAACAAUAUUUAUUUUUUAAAAUUUUCUUUAUACCUACUAUAUUCUUUUUCCUUAAUGACUUUUUAGCGGUAUUUGAAAAAAAAUUAAAAUUUUGUAUAAUUUUUAACAAGAAAGGAUUGUAUGAAACAGUGACGCCACGUCAUCUGUAUCCCUUCCCAAUAGUUUUAUGCCAAAUCAGUAUUCUUAUUCUGAAUUUCAAGAUUUUAUCCUAAAUUUUAGUAUUUUAAUUUGGAUUUGAUUUUUUUCAGAAUAAAAUCUUGAAAUUCAAGAUAAACAUACUGAUGUGGCAUAAAAUUAUUGGAAAGGGAUACAGAUGACGUGGCGUCACUGUUUCAUACAAUCCUUUCCAUCCAUAACAAUAGUUUUAAGAUUUAGGAUUUUUUUAAAAGAUAAAUUAUUUUGAAUUUAUUUUUAUAUAAAAUUUUAAUUAUAUAUCUAUAAUUUUAUUUUAUUAAAAAUAAAUUUAAUAAACAAUUAAAGAAAAUGAGGAAGCCAAAUUUAGUAUAUGUAGUUUAUUAUAUUAAAUAGAUAUUUAUGAUAUGAUUUUACUUUAAAAUAAUAUAUAUAACAGGAAACAUUUAAAGAUGUUUAAACGCCAAUAGGAGAAAAUGAUGGGUCGUGUAGGAGGAAAACUGCUUAACAUUACUGACCAUGCACUCGCAGAUAAGCGUUAAGCCAUCGACACAUGAUAAAGACCGCCAUCGAUCAUGUAUUUGCAUUAUUUUCAAUUUUUAAAUUUUAAAUCAUACUAUAUAUUAUAUUAUAUUUUAAUGUAUUUGGAUUGAUUUCGGGUCGGGCUCCAACAAAAUUUUAGAUCCGAUUGAUAGGUAUGAGAAAUGGGCUUAAAUUUUUGUCCAAUUCCGAUCCAUAUUAUAGAUGCUAAAUUCGAGCAUAGACCAACUCGGCUUGUAUUAAAACUUAUAGUAUCGAUAUAAUAGGGAAUAUAUCAAUACUUACUGUGAUGUAUCAACACCUUAAGGAGGAUAAUUUUUCUUUUAACUUUUUAAAACUUUGAGCCUUAAAAUGAUAUCAACAUCAAAUUGGGUAUUGAUACUUUUAGGCAUAUAUUUGUGGUCAAAAACUCUUAUAGAAGGCUUGAUUCAUUUUCUAAAUAGAUCUUAAUUUUUUGUCCAAAUUUAUCUUUUAAACCUUGAUAUUAAGAAUUGUGGGUUAGUCAGUUAUUUUAUUCAAUUUGAUAAACUUGGAAAUAAAGAAACUAAAUUUUAGGGCAGCCAAAGACUUAGGCGUCCUUUCUGUUAAAUAUUGCAGAAAAGAAAUUGUCAUAGAAGAUUCGUACAUUUCCCAUUUUACUUUCGUACAUUUUUGUGAAAACGAAGUCUUUUUUGUACCUAACUUGUCUUACUUUAUAAUCCGUCUAAUUUUCAAUUAUUAAUUUAUGUAGGAUCUACUCGUAUAUUAUUUAAGUUAAAAUUUUGAAUAUUGACUAAAUCUAUGUUGACCAUUAAUAUAUAAAAAUUUAGUGGACGUGAUGUUGACCCUCUCUUUAUCACAUAAGCAUUAAUAAAAUAAUUGUUAAUUGUGAUAACUUUUAGUAUUUUACAAUUGCUCACUAUUAAUUUUUUUUUUGUUACAACAAUUAUAAAAGUAUUUUUUAAUUAUUAUUUAUGUUUUAAAUAAAUUCAUAUAAUUAUUGCUCAACGUUCUUUUAUAGAAUUAUUCUUUAUUUCUUUUAUUUAAAUAGAAUUAAUCUUUAUAUAUAUUGUAUCAGAUGGAUCUUAAAUACAGAUUAAGGUUUUACAAAUUUUAAAUUAAGAUUUAAACUCGUUAAUUUCUAGUUUUAUUUUUGAAUUUUCUCAAAUUCUUAUAUAGCUCACGAAUUUGAAAUGCAAAAUUGACAAAUCGAAUAUUCGGGAUAAAGGAAAGGUUUAACAUUCUUUUAGGAAGGUUUUGUGAUAAUAAUAUUUUAAUAAUAUUCUAAUAGUUAGAAUUAAUAGUAUUACAUUCCUCAUAGAAUUAAAACUACUUCAUUUUUGUUAUAAAAUAAAGAGAGAUGGGAAGAAUAAAGAAUAAAGAAAAAAGAAAAUAUGAAAGCAACAGAGAAUGUAUUUUAUUGAUCAAAAGGGGUGGUUAUAAUGCCUCAGCAGAUUCUCUAUUUAUAGGCAUAAGAAGUAUAAAAGAAGUAAAGAUCUAAUUCUAAUAACUAUUAAAUUAUUUAAAGAAUUCCAAAACUUUAUCUUGAUCAUGAUGGGCAUCCACUUAAUAAGAUAUUCAUAACACUUGUAACACCCCUAACCCGAAUCUGAUCGCCGGAUUAAGGCUAAGAGGUAUUACCGAACUAAACAUUUAAUUAUCUCAUUCACAUUGUCAAUAAACAUAAACAGAGAUCGAGCUGAAAUACAUACUGAUAUUUAAGUUAUACGCCAUUUUCGUAUGGCCAAAAUAUUUACAAUUUCAAAACAUCGUUAUCAUCAGCCUAACCUAUACAUGCCAUAUCGAGUCCAAAAUAUAACUGUACCCAAAAAGAUCGAUAGUGUGAUGAACUGCUGAUGAUCCCCGAGUCGGUGGCCAAAAUCAACAAUCUAUAAAAUAGGGAAAUAAAGAACAGAGUAAGCUUUCAAAGCUUAGUAAGUUUUAAGCAUCACAAACAAUUAAAGACUUAUCGAAAAUCGAAACAUUCAUUUAAACAGACUUAUUCUCAAUUCAAAUUGCUUCAUGGCCGAAUACACAUAAACAUAUACAUAGAUUUCUCAGCACAUAUUUUUCUUCUACUUAAAGUUCAUACGAUGCAUUUAAAUCAAACAAUCUCAUAUAUUAACAACAUUUGACCGAAUAGGUCAUUGUUUUACUCGAAGAAGAUAUAACAAUCAUUCACACUUAAGUAUCAUUCUUUAAUGCUAAUAAUUCACAAAAUCAUUGACUGAACGUACAUGAGUACAUAAAGAAAUUUUAACAUAUAAUUCAUAUACAAAUAUACCAUGACCGAUUAAAUCAUUCUCAUAUUCGCAAAUAUAACCAUCAAUCAUAUUUAUAUAUAUAUUCUUCUUUGAUGUUAAUGAUUCACUUCAAAAUCAAUUCACCGAUGAGUAAGUAAUACGUACCUGAACAUCUUAAAUGUAUAGUACUUACUUAACGAUGGUUUACUGCAAACAUUCAAUAUCGUAAUCUUACUUAACUUACUGGCAUUAAGCCUGUCAGGUCUUAGAACUUGAAACCAAUUACCAGUACAAGCCUGCGGGAAUUUAAACCCGGUAUAAUACCAGCUCGAAGCCUGCGGGACUUUAGCCCGGACAUAUUUCCAGCACGUAGCCUGCGGACCUUAAGUCCAGUUAUAAUUCCAGCACAUAGCCUGCGGACCUUAAGUCCGGAUAUAAUUCCAGCACAUAGCCUGCGGACCCUAAGUCCAGAUAAACAUUACUGAAUGUCAUGCAUACUUAUUCGCAAGAAAAUUCAAUUCACAUAACAUCUCACAAUCAUAAUUCAUUUAUUCCAUUCGAAUAAUAGCAUAACAUGGGCACUAUUCAUAUAACUUUUGGCUCAAUAAAAUACAUAAGAAUAUAUGUCCAUUUUACUUUCCAAGCUUAACUUCUAAUGUCUAUUCGACUUUAAGCCUUAAACAUAAAUUAUUUGUCACUCAACUAUAUUCAAAUAGAAUUAAUAGAUCGCAGUACAGUUAUCAUACACAUAUCAAGACAUUAUCAAUUACGUACUAAAUGUGACUAUUCAAAACUUACCUCAGAUAUACUUGAACGGUUGCGGAAAGGCUACUCAAUUACUUUCUCUUUUUCCCUAUCCAACUUCGACCCUCUUUGCUCUUGAGCUUAAUUAAAACAAAUAGAUUUGUUUAAUUACUUAACCAAUAUUAUUUACUUAUUAAUCACAUUCAGCAAUCACAUAUCAAAUUCAAUAUGUAUUAUAAUUUAUAUAAAUAUGCCAUGAUUCAAAUUUCAUAUUUAUUUAUAACCGAAAAUGGCAAGAACUUAUCAAGCCAUGAAAAUCACUUAUAGCUCAAACACAAAAUGAUCAUAUAACACUAAUGGCCGAUUAUUCAACUUAUACCUAGUUCGCAUACACAAGAAAAACUCAUAUAGCUUAUCUUGCUUUCUUAUACACAAAUUUAACCAUCGCAAAUAUUUUAUCAAGAAACACCCUAAUCAUUUUAGCCAAAUUUUCUAUUACCAAAUAAAUCACAUAUAUAUAACACUACUCAUUACACAUAUACAUCAACUAUCAAAAAUUCCCACUCCUUAGCUAUUUCCGAAUGCUUAUAUAAGUCUUGAGUCAUCUUUAACACAUUUAUCAAUCUUCUAAUUCAACUUAAUACAAAAAUAAUAUCAUUUAAACAGCCAACACCAAAACAUUUGUUCAAAUGGACCUAGCCGAAUACCCCACAUAGCUAAAUGAUUCACACAAAUCACUAAUAGCCAACUCAAAUUCAUCCUUAAUUUCUCUUAUAACAAAAUUCAUCAAAAUUUAAUAAGAAAAUACAUCAAAUUCCAUGACCGAAUUUGCAUUUAUCAUAAAACAAAAUCCUUGCAUCUCGUCAAUAUGUCCAAUUGCAAAAAUUGCUUUAAUUCAUCACCUAAGCAACAUGAAACUCCAUUACAAUCACGAUUAUUCAUUCCUUAAAACCAACAUUCAACUAUCAAUAAUUUAGCAAAACUCAUGUAAAUGGCCGAAUGUUAUAUCCUCAACCAAAACUAAAGUUUUAACAUGGGCUACGUAGGAAACUAUGUAAUUAACUAAAUUUUCACAAGAAUUUGAAGAUAGUACAUGAAACAUACCUUAAUUUGGAUGCUAAAAUAGCCGAAAGUUUGAUCUCUCUUAUCCCCUCUUUUUUUUUAAGAAAUCGGCAAUGAAGAACAAAAGUAAUUAACCUUGUUCUUUUCACCCAUUUAAUUAUUUUAUUAUAAUAUAAAAUUGUUAUUACAUAUUAUAAUACAUUUAUAUAUAUAAAUACAUAUAAAAUUUAUACUUUUUCAACUACUAAACCACAUGGCCGGCCACUAUAAAAAAAAUGGCAAUUUGACAUUCACAUCCUUAUGAUUUUUAAACCAUAUAGUAAUAAGCCAUCACAUAAAUACCUAGCACAUUUUCAAAAUUCUCACACAAGUCCCUUUCAAUAAUUUUCAAUCAAAGCACCACAAAUUCACAUAUGCAUUUUCACACAAAUUAAGCAUGAAAUUUAACAUUCAAUUAUUUUCACAAUUCGGUUUGGUGAUCCCGAAACCACUUCCCGACUAGGGUCAAAUUAGGGCUGUCACAAUACUCCCCCUUGAAUGUCCAUUGGUAGAUAAUAUACCUCAUUAAAACCUUAUUAAGAAAAACCCUGUGGGAUAAAAACCUAAAGAGAGAGAAAAAGAGUACACAAUCUAUAAUACGCAUAAUAUGUUGCCUCAUUAAAAACAUUACCAGGAAAACCCAAUGGGACAAAACAUCGGUUAAAGGAAAAAGAGUACAACGCGUAUUUACUCCCCCUCAUGAAAAUAUCACAUAUUUUCUCAUAUUCUACGUAUUCAAUCUUGAAUAAUAGUUUUUCAAAUGACUGUUUGAAUGUAUUUGCUAAGCAUUUAUAUUACUAUUUUUUUAAAAGUCAUGAGUGAGGGAAAUUUGGGAAAAUAUAUUUUGAUCUCUUCAGGAGAUUCAACAAUAAUUAUAACAAACUUUAAUCAUGAUUCUUAUAUAAAAACACAAAUAGGUAUUUUGGAUUAUUUUAUAAUCCUCCUUCAACUACUCAAAUUUACCACAUAUGUUCAAAUUAUUUCAAUUCAUAUAAAUGAAUAACUUUCCAAGAAUUUCAAUAUGCUUCUAGCAUUCUAAAUCCUUCAAGGAUUUUAAUAUAAACUUUACUAUAUAGUGAUUUAUAAAGGUUGUAACAACAACCAUUAGACGCAAGUUAAAUCUUUUAUGAAUUGUCAAUUUAAUAAUAUAGCUAAAGAUUAUUGCAUCCACUACAAAAUAAUAUUAUAUCUUUUCAUAAUCAAUACCAGCACUUAGCGAAAAACUUUAUAUUUUUAUUCCGCUCUUGCAAAACUACUUCAUUUGCACCCUUAUUGGCUUUAUACCUUUAGAUAUUUGGACUACUAGUCCAAAAAAUCCACGAAUUUAAUUGUACUUAAGUUGCGUCUUUCUAUUUUGAUCAAUUUAUUCCAUAUCUAUAUUUCUCAAUAGAUUUAUUCAAGAUCCUCCUUUUAUUUCAUUAUUUCAAUAAUAAUAUUGCAUGCAAAAUGUCAACCACUGUUAUUAUUCGGUUCUACAUUUUCUCGAAUUGACAUAACUUAUCGAGAUAUCUUAUUUUUAUUAUUUUAAAAUUCAGUUUUAGGUACCUGAAUUUCUUUUGAAGUUUUACUUAUUAGUUAUGUCUUGGGUCUCUUCUGGAGCACCCGCUGAUGAUCGCUAAACUAACUAAAAAUUCGACUAAGGCAAGCAACCUACGAAUAGUAGUAUAGUUAUGGUAAGACCGGAAAUAUCGUAUCCACAAGGACUAAAAGUACUAGUAAUUACUAUCUUUUUAUUAUCUAGCCUAAGAAUUAAAGGGAUGUUUUUAAACUAAGAUUAAUUGUCUAAUUAAUUAAUAACACGACAGAGAUUAAAUUUGGAAAAUACUUUUGGAAAACCGAUGGAGAAAACAAUACCCAAGGAAGAAUCCUCCUAGACUUCACUUAUUCUUCUGAAUUAGACGAUUUAUUCACUUGAAUUGAUCCGUAGGAAUUCCUAGCUUAUGUUAAUAUCUCUCUCGAGACUAAAAACAACUGACUCUAGGUUGAUUAAUCGAAAUUUCUUUCUAAUUAAAACCCCUAUUGUCGCAUUAACUCGAUCUAUGGAUUCCCUUGUUAGAUUUGACUCUAUUCCGACAGAUUUAUGUAGUCCUAUCUCUAGGAUUGCAUGCAACUCCGCUUAAUUAUGGAAGAUCUACUCUUAAAUAGGGACUUUUGCUCUACUGAAUAAGCACAUCAAAACUUGAAUUAAUAUCCUGGAAUAUUAACGUAAGGAUUAAAACUCAUAAUUAAGAAUAAGACAAGUAUUUAUCAUAUAAUUCAAAUAAUAAUAAGAUCUAUCUUAGGUUUCAUCUCCCUUAGGUAUUUAGGGAGUUUAGUUCAUAAUGCUAGGGGAAAACAUCUCAAAAUUAGGAAAAUAACAAAACAUAAGAAACCCAAAAACUUCGGUAGAAAUUGAAUGGAAAUCUUCAAUCUAGAAGUAAUUCCUACUUUCGAGCUGAUUCCAAUGUCUGUCUUCAAGUAUUUUCUUCCUUCUACUCUCUGUGUCCCGCUUGAUCCUCUUCUCGUGUGUUUAAAUAGACUUUGGAAUGCCCAAAAUAGCCCAAAAUUAGCUUUUUCCGAGUAGAAUUAAAAUAAGUCUCGAUAGGGACACGGCCGUGUGGCACACCCAUGUGGUGGUGCUCAAGCCUUGUGCGCUUUUGAUAUGGUUUUAAGUCGACAUGGCCAUUAUACAUAGGUGUGUGGUUUUCCCGUGUGGAAGUGUCUGGGCCGUGUGCAGCGCUGAAAUAAACCUAUUUUGUCCGUUUUUGGCCUUUUUCUUGCAUUUUUCACUUUCCUAUGCUCAUCUGGAUAUAAAACAUGAAAUUAAAGGAUUAGGAGCAUAAAAUUCACUAAAUCUUAUGAUAAAUCAUCCGAAAAUAUGCCAAGCAUGGGAUUAAAAUAUGUUACUUUUGAGGUUUAUUACCCGCCUCCACUAUAUGACCAUCUAGAAUAAUUUUUAUCUUUGGAACCGAUCAAUCUAUUAUUUAUUCUAACUGAUUGUCCUACUAGGACUUUGAUUCAAAUUAAAAUAUUAGAUGAUACAUAACACUUGAUUAUUCUUAAUAAGAUUGUAAAUACAUCUAACAGUUAACUUGUAAUGAGUUAUUCUUAUUGAACUUCUAGUUCAAUUACUCUCUCCUUAACUCAUUACAUGUUAUUGUUUCUCUCCCCCUAAUGUUGGGAAAACUGAUAACUCAUGUCACAAUUAAAUCUCGAAUUAAUUGUUCAAAAAUAUUAUAAGGAGACUCAUAUAAAUAUACAUUCCCAAUCUCUUAUUAUGACCUGUACGUUGUGGUGGAGUAGUUGGAACAUAUACCACAUAUCCAAAAAUUGUAAGAUGGGAAAUAUUUGGCUCUUGACCAAAAAUCAAUUGUAAUAGGGAGUAUUUAUAAUUUAUUGGCUUGAUGCGUACAACAUGUAAAUCAAUAUAAUCAUGAAUCUCAUGCUGAAAUAGAAAGUUUUGUUCUCAUAAGUAAUGGUUUACCUAUUAGUUGGAGCCAUUUUAUAAACAAUUCAACUAAAUCAUUUUGUGUGUGAACAUGAGUUAUAAUAUGUUCAACUUUUAUCCCAAUUGACAUGCAAUAAUCAUUGAAAACUUGGGAUGUAAACUUACCAACGUUAGCAAGAUGAAUUGUUUUAAUUGCAUAAUCUAAAAUUAAUCAUUUAAAUAAGUAAUUUUGCAAAUGACAGGUUGCGAGUUGAUAACGCAUGUGAUUAUUUUGUAGAUGCAUCUACCAAAAUCAUAUAUUAUCAAAACCAUCCACAUGGUGGAUGAAUGGACCCAUAUUCAUUUUAAAAAUGCAAGAAUUAAAUCUCAACUUUAGCUAGUAAGUUUCUAAGAACCAAUUUUUAUUGAGAACAAGCAACAAAUGAGAAUUUUUUAAAUUAAAGAAUCUUCUGGUUCUUUAAUGGAUGUCUAUAUGAAUUCUCAAUUAAUUUUUGCAUCAUAAACGAUCCAGGAUAGUCUAACUGGUCACGCCAAGUAGUAAACACAUUUGUAUUAGUAAAUUUCUGGUUUACUUUAACAUGUGUUUCAAUUGUAGUAAAUUGUAACAAAUUGAUAACUUUAUUAUCAUUCCUUUUAAUUGUAUCCACAUAUAAGUACUAUUGUGAAAUUUACUACUAAAAAUGUCUAAAUCAAUGUGAAGUCUAUAAUGCUACCAAGUCAAUAAAUAUAAUUUCCAAAUAAUUAUAUGCAGUAUUCGCUUCAGGGAAUAUGCUAAAAUCUUCAAAUACCCAAAAAUCUAUUAACAACAAACUUUGAGAGUGGAUAUUAUUUUUCAUGUGUAUAACAGGUACAUAACCAAUGACUUUUCAUACAUAAGUUUUCUCUCUUGGAAGUUCUCUUCAGUAAUAUUUUACUACGUAAUUUUAAUUGAGAACUUAUUUUGAAUACUGUAAAGUUAUACUCACAGUUUUUAAAAAAUACUUGCAACUUUAGAUGCAUCCAACCAUAAUAAGCUUUAGAUAGAAUUAUCAUAUUUUAUUGCUCAUGAGUAGAUCUUUCACAGUCAAAUAUUUUGCUUUCAACCCUUUAAUAGGGAUGAUGAUAAAAGAAUAUCAUAAAUAUUAUAAAUUAAUAACUCAAUCCCCUUUUUUUAUUCAUAUGAAAUAUAAUUUUUUCCUUAUUCACAAUCUCAAUAUGAGAUCCAUUACAAAUAACUUUUAAAAGUAAUACAUUAACCAUCACAAAUUUUGUGCUUUUUAGAUAGUGAUAUAUUAGCUCUUCUGGAGCUUUUAACUAAUUUUGUAUUAUCAAAUAUUGAAAUAAUAUUUGUUUGUUUCAGUACCAAAUAAGAUAAAUAUUUUCUACCUGUAAUGAUAGAAUUCAUUACUACAUUUUCAUAUCAUUUCUCAAAGAAUAUUAACAGAAACAAAAUAUUUGGGCAUACGCCACAUAUGUGGUCAAUAAUUUUUCAUAUCACACUGAUAACAUAAGUUAUCUUUACCCUUGUAAAAAUUAUCCUGAGAACUCUCAUUGUUCUCUUAUUUAUUACUAUAUUCCCACUUUUAGUGGUCCAUGAGUAUAUCUUUUAUUUUCUUUAUGUUUACAUUCACUUUGAGGAAUGCAACAAAUCUAGUAGGAUGAACUUAUAAACAUUCCAGUAGAUUCUUUAUUUCAUAAUUACCAUCGUAAACAUGCAUGAGAUUUAAAAUCAAAAUCUAUCUAUGCAUGUUGUCAUGAUUAGUCUCCAAUUAUAAUAAACAAUAAAUAAAACAUAGUAAAAUAUACUUGAAGAUCUUUAACAUCAUCGUCAUUACUAGAAGGUAUGAGAUAGUUCGAAAAUAUUCUUGAUUUCAUAUGGAUAAUGAUAUCAAAUCUUUCACCAUCCUUAAGAACCAAAAAUAAAAUAAGUUAGUCAAAAUAAUGAUAACAUAUAAUGAAAUAAGAAUGAAAAACAAUAAUCAGACAUGAAACAUUAAAUAAAAGAAACUUUCUGUAAAAACUUUGCAUGUUGCCAUCAAAGAAAUUUAAAAUCAUGGAGGAUAAAUUUGAUCGUCGAUAAAAGGAACUAUCACUUUGAGCAAGAUUGUGCUGAUAACGUGUUAUAAAAUAAAAAAAGAGAUAGGGAGAAUAAAGAAUAAAGAAAAUAUAAAAGCAACAGAGAAUGUACUUUAUUGAUCAAAAUGGGUGGUUACAAUACUUCAUCAGAGUCUCUAUUUAUAAUCAUAAGAAGUAUAAAAGAAGUAGAGAUCUAAUUCUAAUAACUAUAAUUAGAAUUUAAAGUAUACCAAAACUUUAUCUUGAUCAUGAUAGACAUCCACUUAAUAAGAUCUUCAUAACAAUUUUAAUGAUUUUAAUGAUUUUUUUAAUUGGCAUAACUUAUUCUCUUUUCAGUUGUAUCUAUACUAUUUAUUAAAUGUUUUACCGAUUAGGUCUCAUCCUCAAUCAAAUCACUAGCUCAAUUAGAAAGAUUAUGGAUUUGUCUUUCAGUAAUUAAAAUAAGUUAAACUAUUCAAGGGUAUUACCUUAAAAUUGUCACUCGACCAAAGUUUCAUAUUAAUAUAUUUUAUACAUUUUUACUUUAAUAUGCAUAAUUUAUUAUCUCUAUUAACACACAUUUGUAUUCUAAAUUUGUGGUUUUCACACGUAUACACGUGUGAUAGGAUUUCUAAUAUAUUAAUAAUGUUGUUAGUUAAGUUGAUGUCACAAGUCAACUUGACACUAAGGGCCCUUUUGGAUGGGCGUUUAACUCCAGUGCGGUGCGUUUAGCUUUCUUUUUAUCUCAAGCUACAGUAUCGCUAAGGUAUCUAACCUCACCGCCACCAUUGUUUUUUCACUAAUUGUAGGUAAACACACCGCCCAUCCAAAGGGGUCCUAACUCCCAAUUGAUGACAAUUCCAUAAUAAAUAAUUGUAGUGCAUUUAGUAUUGUUAAUAUGAUUUAGUUAUGUGUUUCAAUUUUGUUUUAUUCAGAAUUUAAUCUAAUUGUUUAUUUUAAUAUUGUACAUAUUUCAUAUAUUAUUAUGAUUAAUUAGUUGAAAUCCAUACGUUUCAUUGUUUAUUGUAUGCUAUUUUUAAAUUAUGUUUUAAAUUUAUGAUUUCCACAAGUAUAGGAGUGUGAUAGGAUUUCUCGUAUAGUUAAUGAUAUUUUUUUUGCAUUGAGUAAAAAAGUAACAUUUUCUAAAAUGAAAAAGUAAUCCAUCCUUUCCAUGAAAGAGAUCAUAAAAUUUGAAAAAAAAUAAAAUUCCAACAUCGGCGGUAAAAGACAAGCUCCACCAACAUGAUAAAGGCUUUAGCCUCAUUCACAAUAGAACAUUUUUGCAUGUUGACAACUAGUUUUAUCACAGCUUGACUUGCUUAUAGGUUGAGCUACCCGCCCAAGUCAUAAGGCUCGCUCAAAAUUGGGAAAGGUUUGGGUAAAAAUAUUAGGCCCAAAAAAAUGAGCUUGAGUAAAAAAUUUAAGGCAAUUUAAAAUAUAGGUCCAGCUCGGGCCAUGUAAUGUUUUAUAUUAUAUUAUUUUUAUAUAUUAUGUAAUUUAUAUCACAUAAAAAUUUAAUCUAUAAUGUAAACAUUAAAAAUAUUAAGAUGACUAUAUAUAAAAUUUUAAUAAAUAAAAAAAUUAAAAUAUUUAAUAUUAUAUUAAAACUAACAUAAAUAUAUUCUUUUUGAAAAAAAUAAUAUAUGCGGGCCUAAAAUGGGUUUGAGUUAACUAUUUACAAAUAUGACCAGACUUAGACAAAAUUUUAGGCCCAUAUUUCUAGUCGGGUUGGGCUUGAGCAAACGUAAAGUGUGUUAAUAUCAUGGUUAGGUUCGGCUAGGCCUAGCCUGACUCAUGAUCAUCUCUAGUCACAACUCAAGGACGACAUAUCUAAGUUAAUUGCAAACACUUAUCAUGAUAAGGGAACCAACCCUAGAUGGUCCAAAGGGACAUGCAAAAUUAGUAAAAGAAUUGAACAUCCAUUAAACUGGAAAGAACAACAAUAAAUCCAUCUCUAAAAACAUUUGCAAAAACAAGACGACAUAAAUAAGCAAGACUAAAAACUUGUACAAGAAAAGAUAAAAACUUCAAAAAUAGAAAACUAUUAAACAUAAAAAAACACAUUUAAGAACAAUACGAAUCUAAACCGACUCGUGAAAUCAAUUAUUAUUCCAAAAUAAUGUCAUAGCAAAAAUAGAUAAAAAAUUGAUUGAAGAGUCAUCAUUUUAGUAUCUACAACCAACUCACAUUCUAAGGGAAAUUAUUGGUGACCGAAGAAGCUUUAGCGACGAUAGGUAGUAUCAUCUACCCAUCACAACUCAUAAAGGUAAUUGUUAGAGUUUGUGUGACCCGAACCCCAUCACUUGUUGAAGAAAUAAAUACAUUGACAAAAUAAAGGGAUCUGUGGGGGCGAGAGGCCGAGGGCCAUAAUUCAUAUAGAACUAUACUUCUAAUAUUUGACUUUAAUUAUAACAUGGUUUUUUAACCUUUAAAUAGAUGUAGACUACUUUGUAUCAUUCAUUUUUUAAUAUUAGUGAAUUUCUUCUCAUUUGCCCGUAGUUUUUUUUUUGAAAAGGUUUCAAUGUAAAAUCUAUUUGUUCUUAUUUUUUCUUUUCUUAUUGCUUUACUAUUAUUCUAACGUCAUUAUCGAUGUUUAUUAUAAUAAUAACAAAGAUACUCAUAUCAAAUUCAUAUCAAAUUUGCAAACCGAAAAGAAAGAAUGCACAAAGAUUGAAUGAAGAAAAGAAAUUGAAAAGAUUAGAAGUUGGAGAAAAAGAUGGGGAGCAAGAAAGCCGACAUCUUCAUUGAACAAAACAAAGGAAAAGAAAAGAAAAACUCUAGAAAAAGAAAAGGGAAAAAUCAAGUGGAUAUUUUUAAUUUAUUAAAAAUUGAAAGAGAACAUAAAUUAGUAUACUUGGAUUGCUAAAAUAAUGUUACAGAAAACUAUUAAAAUGCACAAAAUUAAAAUAAAGUUAUAUUUCUUUCCUAUAUUAAUAUUAUAUAUGUUAAAAUUUGACAAUGAAUUUGGUUGUAGAUCAGAGGUCUAGAAAGUUGGCUGGGCUGAAGAUUUUGAAUUUGUGAUAGGUACAUUGUUUCAAGGACUUCCUUUUUCUACCAAAUUGACUUUGAGCAUCCAUGAUGGCUUCUUCUUUUAUAAAUUAAAGAGAAAAUCAAACCAAAAGAUUACAAAGAGAGGGGGGACACACAGCUGAAACAGAUAAACAUCAAAAUGGGUUCCCAAAAACACGUCUUUCUUUUGUUAUCAGUGCUUUUGAUUCUCAAUUCCCUUCUCUUUUCCGGUGCCGAUGAAGAUCACUAUUACGAAUUUAUUGUAACUUUUGUAACCUUUUUUGUCCCCUUUUCGUCCAUGUUUAAUCAGAUUUUUGGGUAUUUAUUUUGGAUUAUUGUUUUUAAUUUGCAGUUGCAAGAAACAGAGAUUACGAAGCUAUGCAGCACAAAAACCAUAUUGACAGUGAACGGCAGUUUUCCAGGGCCUCAAAUUCGGGUUCGAAGAGGCGACACUGUUUAUGUCAAUGUGCACAAUCAAGGAAGAUCUGCUGUUUCCUUUGAUUGGUAUACAUACUAUUAAAUUCAUUUCAUAUAUUUAUAUUAUCAUACUAUAUAUAUAUUUACUUUUCAAAUAAUAUGUAAAUGACAUAAACAGAUUUGAUGAUGAGAUGACUUAAUUUUGUGGGAUUUUUCUUUGUUUUAUGAGAAAUUUAUUAGGCAAGGGGUUGAGGAUCCGGUUGAUGGUUCAAACGAGUUGAUCCAGCCUGGUAAAAACUUCACUUACGAGAUCGAAUUAGACGAUGAAAUCGGAACUUUAUGGUGGCAUGCAAGGAGUGCUUGGGCUAAAGCUACCGUCCAUGGCGCCUUUGUCAUUUUACCGGCAGCCGAUGAAGAGUAUCCUUUCCCUACACCUACGUCAGAUCAAAUCAUUAUAUUCGGUAACAUGGUUUUUAAUUCUUCCAUUUAUGGUUGCAACUUUUUGUUUAUUAUAUAUAUUUAAGGCUUUCGAAUCGGCAAUUGCAUGGCAAAUUAUUUUUUCAGGAGAAUGGUUUAGACAAGAGUUAACGGAAGCUAAUGAAACCAUUGCUGCUGGCCAAGCAGACGGUUACACAAUCAAUGGCCAUCUUGGAGAAACAUAUGGAUGCAGUAAUGGUACAUACUCGAUACUCACGCCCGAAUCCGAAUAAUAUAAUUUCAUUGUUAAGCCAUCUUUGUAAUAAUAAUAUUCAUAAUUUUGUGUUUGAGAACAGAUACAACAUAUCUGCUAGAAGUGGCUUACGAGGGUCUUUACCUUCUUCGUUUAAUAAAUGCCGUUGCCAACGAAACAAUGGUGUUCGCCAUCGGGCAGCACAGUUUCACGACCGUCGGACAAAACGCGACAUAUGCCCAACGCUCUUUCUCAACUUCUCUUACGUUAGCACCGGGCCAGACGCUCGACGUUUUGCUCGGCGCAAACCAAAACGUCGGCCAGUAUUACAUCACUGCUCAACCUUCCUCUGGCAGGCAUAAUACCACCGGAGUUCUACAGUAUCUCACCAGCACUGGUGUUUAAUUUAGUUACUUGGUUUUUGGGAUUCCAUUGUUAUAGUUUGUUUAUGAAAUAAGACAUUCAGUAGGGCAGACCACUAUAUAUAUAUAAUAAUUUCGAUGCCCUUUCAACAAUCCAUGCUGGUGGAAAAAUUUUGUGUUUUUUCAUUAAAAGGUUGUUCGUUGGUUGUAACAUAUGUAUUUGUUCUUUGAAUGAUUAAUGUGUUAUAUUGCAUUCUUUAUUUUUUUCUCUGUCAUACUUAAAUUUUAAAAAAUAAUUAAUAUGAUACUUCUUCUUUUAUUAAGUGACAAAAUAAUGUUUAAUAUAUCUUAUAUGAGACCAUAACAUAAUAUCGUUAGCGAUAAUGAUUAAAAAAGUUGAACUGAUAUGAUCCAUUUUAUGAUGGACAUGGUGAUAAAUAAUUUUGUAUUUCAAUCAAAUUAUUAAUGUAAAAUGUAAUUUUUUUUUGAUGAACAUGAGAUAAUCCAUUCAAAGAAAAGGAUAAUAAGCAAACAAUGAUAAAAAAAAAACAAAUUAUAGAAAGUCUAAUACAAACUGUACAAGCAGAACAAGACAAGAUUCAAAGGUUUACAAUUCGAUUAUGGAAAAACAGCAUACUACGCUUAGAUCAAACCACAAUUGCCUAACAAAAGGAAGCAAAGACGAAAACCUUCAUCUAUAUGUCCGUGUUCAACCAUUAGAAUAGAGAAGUCGCCAUUAUGCAUAGAACCCUCGUCAUGUCCUCACCUUCGUUGCAAUGGACAUGCUUCAAGCUAACCUAAUCCAAUGGAUGCGAGCAGCUUUAGUUAGGGGUGUAAUCGAGUCAAAUUGAGCUUAAAUAUUGUCAAGCUCGACUUGAAAUUUGAAGUUUGAUACUCAACUGAAGCUCGAUGAAACAUUUAUUUUUAAGUUUGAGAUUGACUCAAGAUAUAAUCGAGCUAUUUGAGCUCGAGCUCAAUUAAGUUCGUUUAUCAAUUUUUAUACUUAAGCUCGAAUUCGAGCUCAAUUAAGCUCAUUUACUAAAUUUCAUACUAAGCUCGAGCUCAACUCAAUAAUUAAACUUAAGAUUAAUAAUAUAUACUAAGAAGAAUAACUUGUGAGCACCUGCAGCUAGAAUUUUUUUUAAAGGGGCUAAAAUUAAAUUAUAAUUUUUUCUAUAAUAAAAAUGUAACUUUUGAAAGAUUGAAUUAAAAUUUUAAUAUUUUUAAAGAGAUUAAAUGUAACUAACUUAAAAUUUUAAAAAUUUAAAAGGCGAAAAUGACCAUCCCCAAGAUUCGGCCUGUGUCUCAUUUAUACUCUUACCUCUAGCAAAACAAGCAAUCCAGGGAUGCCCGAGAAAAUCCUUCACACACAAGGCUUGAAAGCUUGCGUCAAGGAAGAAGCGAGUACAAACCGACUCGAGAGAACUCCUUUAAGGGAGGAGCCACGGGAGACCCUAGGCUAGAUAUAUUACUCUGAACAAACUUACUGGAAAAACAGAGGAUGGUCGGCAAGAGGAGGAGGUAGGAGUGGAGGUAAGGAAGGAGAAGGAAAAAGGAAAAAGUGAAGGAGGAGAAAGCGAGAGAGCUGUUUCCGGCGAGGUCAGCAACGGCAACCCAUUAAAAGACCACACCGAAAGCAACCACGAGAGGCAACAAGGAAGGGGAAAGGAGAAAAAAGGAGGAGGGGGAAAGAGGAAGGGAUGAGAAAAGAAAGUGGACGAUGGUGGAGGAAAAGGGUGAUCGACACCGACCCUAAGUUUGACAGCCGGCAUAAUGGAGCAGAGAAAAGGAGCAGGAAGAAUCAGAAAGCCAGCGAUCGACCUUAAGACCGCCGCCCAACAUCACAAGCUCCCCUCGCAAUUACAAAAUGAGAGAAUAAUACAGGAAUUUGUAGAGAGACAUACAGUAAUACAUCUGACAUGUUUUGUCCCUACAAAAUUGAAGUGCUUAAAAUUUCAAUUUAGGUACCUUCUGCUUCAUCUAUCAUUGACAGGGGGGACUUCUAGGUAAGGUAGGGCCUUGACUCUUAGGUUCAAAUGAUUAAAUCGUUCUUUUAAUCCUUUAAAUAAGUUACAAUUCAAUUUAAGUCUUCUUUUAACACAAAAUUUAUUUCUUUGCCCCCUUAGGUUAAAAAAGUUGUGUUCUUGCAUAUUGUUUCAUUCUUUAGCUCCUGUUCGUUCUUCGAAAAUUCUUUGAAAGAGUUGUUCAUUUUUAACAUGGUUACUUCAUCGUCUACUCCAUGUAUAAAGGAUUGUUUUAAUUUUCUAAUUUUGGUGCAAAUAAUAGUUCUGGUUGUAAUGGAAGAAGCGGCCAAUGAGAUAAUUGCAUGGUGUUAGCCCAUGAAGAGUGACUUCACAUGGGUUUUCUUGUGGAACAUCAAAGCUAGGAGUUGUAGCAAUACUAGGAGCCUAACAACCUAGUUUCUAAAAUGUUAUAUCUUGAUUAAACUCUAAUGAGUUUAUAUUUGAACCCAAUGUGUUUGGAAAUUCCUUUGUUUUACACUGUAGUUACUUCUUUUGAAAAUGAUCCAUGCCUUAUCGGCGGUUGUGCACUUACAAGUUUUCCUAAAUUUUUGAAAAUCUACAUUAUUGAAGAGAUCGCAUUUAGAGCAUUGUAAUCAUAACUUGUAGCAUUGUUGUAUUUAGUAGUCUUUAAGAGUGCUAACACCAUUUACUACAACUAUGGGUGGUUACUAACCAAUAAUAAUAACUUUUCAUGCUUUCACAUUUACGAGUAUGAUUUGAUUUAGAGAAAGAUUGUAUGAAAUUGUAGUUUCACGUUAUUUUUAUCUCUUUCUAAUAGAAAAAUGAAAAAUCAAAUUUUUCCUCCUAAUUUUUAGCUUUUUCCUCUUGAAAAAAUUCAAAUCCAACUAAAAUUGCUAAAAAUCAAGAGAAAAAUUAACAAUAGGAUCUUUACCAAUUUUGUAUGUUGUCAUUCUAUAUCAAUUCUAAGUAUUGAGUUGUUGGUGAAGUUUUUAGUUGCAACUAUUAGACACAACUUAAAAAUGGAAAAUUAAAAUGAAGAAUACAACCACUUGAUUAUGCAAUUCAAAUAUAAUUCUUUGGGUUGUGGGGCUUUUUACCUAGAGAAUAAUCCACUAUAAUGUCAUUAGUACAAGAGAUGAUUUAAGCUUAAUUUCACUCAAAUUCGUUGCAACCUCACUCCCGUGCAAUUAUAAUGAUAAAACUAUUUGAAUACAUCACAAAAUCACUCACUAAUGUUCCUUACAAUGAAGAUGUCGAGUUUUUUCCAAUUUGCACCAGAGGCAUAUCCAUGGGGGAUGGCAGGGCCUCGACCCCCUAAAAUAUUGGAAAAGUUUACAUUUAGGUCAUUUAUAAUUUAUAAAAUUUUAAAUUAGUAAUAGAAAAAUUACACUUUGGUCCCCUCUAAAAUGAUAAAAUUUUGAUUUAAUCUUCUAAAAAUUAUAAAGAUAUAGAUUAUUAAAAUGAUAAAAUUACAUUUUUACUAUUAUAAAAAUAUACAAUCAAAUUCUGCCAAAAAAAUUCUAACUUCACCCUUGAUCUACAUCGAAAUCCGUAAAUGUGUUUUUCAGGCGUCUCAAUCUUCAUGAAUUAAGCUAGUAUGAUAAGAACAAAAUCUAAAGAGUUCUGGUUCAUAUCAAUCACCUUAAAUGUCUGCUUGAGAUAAGCAAAAAACACCUUUGAUCGUGUAUCUCUUAAAUAUGAAAAUAAUCACAUUUUGGCUUAGUUUGGAUGGGCAGUGUGUUUACCUCCGGUGAGAUUAAAGACAGCAGUGGUGGUGAGAUUGAAUACUGUAGUGAUGAGAUUAAAAACAACGGUGGGGUGUGUGUUUGAAUUUAAACGUAAUUGUAGCAGUGAGGUAAGAAUAGAAAAUGACUAUUAAGAACAUUAGAUUAAAAAUAAUAUAUAAUAGAAGUUUUUUAAAUUGUUUUACUUUUACGAAAUUAUUAAAAAUACGUGAAUUUAUAAAAUUAUUUAAUAAAAUAUUAAAAUGUAUCUUCCGAUCUUUUAUUAUAUAAAAUGGGAAUUUUAACAUUUUAAAAUCAAAAUAAUUAAAAUUUUAAAAUUAAAAUAAACAACCUAAAAGUAGUUAAUUUAAGGAAUGAUAAAUUAAAAUUUCUUUUGAUAAUAACGUAUAUUAGUUUGUUAUAAAAUAAUGGGAAAAAAUGUUUAUUAUUUUAAAUUAAUAAAAUUAUCUUACAAUUGAAAAUACAAAAUUAUAUUAUUGAAGUUGAAGGUAAAAUGAAGAAAGAGAAAAAAAAAAAAGAGAACGGAGAAAAAAUAGGAGAAAGAAUGUAAAAGGAAAAAUGACCACCAAUGAGAUGUUGGAACAUUUGACUGAAGCAUAAAGCUCUAUUGGAGAAACUGGUGCCCAGUGUGUUGAGUAAUACUCCAAUGGUUCUGUUCUUUACAAUCCAAAGGAAUAGGUACGAUGCGAUUCAACCAAAAAGUACUCCAAACGUAAUGAAAUAAGAUCAAACGGGCAACUAAAGGAAGCCAAAUCACUUCAAAUUUUUUCUUGAUGAAAUAUCUUCUCCAACUAUACUACUAUGUUCACUACACAAAAUCCUUUAAAUAAUUAAACAAAAAUAAUCAAAAGAUGGCAAUAAAAAUUAACAAAUCUAAGCAUCUCAAUUGCUAAUCUAAGUUGCAACUUGCUGUAUCAGCCAUAAUAAAAAUAUAGCUGUCUGCAGUAGCAAAUUCACCUUCUAAUCUUUUAAAUUAAAAAACAAAAAGCCGCUGCCACUGAUUUAUUCGUUUCUUUCUUCACUUUUGAUUCACUGCCUGGAUUAAUAUCCAAUGAUUAGUUUUUAGGUUUAAAAAGGAUAAACAAUUAAAAUAUAACAAAACCAUACAAAUACAUAAUAAAUUUUAAAUUCAUAAUUAAAAUAUUAAAAUAUUAAAAGUGUAUAAAAUCAUUUUAAUUUUUACACUAUCCCUUCUCAUAUAAAAAUAAUAUAAGUACAUAAAUAUUUUUAAAAUUUAGAUAAUACAAUAUAUUAAUGUACAACAAUUUAUAUAUAAAAAAUACUUUUAAAAUGUUUAUGACGCUAUAGAAACAAAUAAAAUAAAAUAAAAUUGCAAAAUGAAAACCGAAACAAAAAAAAAAAUGUAUUUGAUAUUUAACCCAGCCAGUGAAUCUAAAAAGAAGAAAGCAAAGAAGCUGCUUUCAAAUUUCUAAGGAGGAAAUUCGCAAUGCCUUCCUUGAUGGGAAUGGGUAUGCGUAUAUUUAUAUGUAAACACAAAUUGUGGUAACAGCAUUAAUCAUGAUUACAAAUUAUGUCGACAUAUGGAAAUUAUGAUACACUGCAAUUUUUUCGCACAUAUGGAAAUUAUGUCAACAUGUUUUGGAUAUAAGAUGUUUAAGGUUAAAUAUCUUUUAUCUUUUAUAUAUAUUUUUAUUCUUUUGGAAAAAAAAAAUUGAAGUGUUGUUCCCGAUGAGAGAUUUGUUUCCCUAUCUUGCAGUGAAUUCAAAAUUCAAAUGUUUAAAGAGAUUGCCUAAAGAGGCAACAGGUUUUAUAGAGUGAAAAUAGCUGGUUGAUGUUUGAACUUUAAAGAGAUGGAUUGUAUGUGUCUCACGACUACCUAUUAAGAAAAUCUUAACAUUUGCACUUGUGGGUUUUGAAUUGUAUCUUGUGGCACCUAAAGCAUUUAUGGACAAUUACACUAGGAAAAUAUUUUUGCUAUUUUCCAGAAAUUUGCUUGGAAGUUAAGAAUUAAUUUUAACGAUAGUUCUUCUUCCUUUCCUUUUAUUUUUAUUUUUGUUCUUCUUCUUGUCAUUUUAUAUUUUUAUUGUUAACCAGAAGUGGUGAGGGGAUUCAGGAUUAAUGGAAGUUCUGUUGUUGGUCACUGGUUAGAAGGCUAUCGGUAAGUAACUGUCAAUGCGAGUGUCUCCGCAAAUUUUCCUUCGUUUUGUAAAUUACUUGGAACGGUGGAUUUUUGUGAGUUUCGAGAAUCUUUUCUAAACGUGUGUGUAUUUACUUAGCAGUCAGGGCUAUUAACAACAAGGAAUAGCAACGAGACAAUCUCUGUGAUUGUUGCUGAAGUUUCAGUAAGUUUGGGAUAUUUGAAGGUUUUGUGUCGAAGCUUUCGACGUAUGUGUUAAGUGAGUAACAGGAAGUUCUGUUGAUUAGUUGGCUAAAUUGUGUUGUUGGAUGCUUGUUUUAGGCUUCGCGGAUCUUUAGGGUUGUUGUCGCUUCAAAGUCUUUUCAGGUGCGUAUCAAAAAUAUCAGUUUUUGCAAGUUUUGGUCGUCAGAAAGUGAUGGCUGUCGAUGCCACACGGGCGUGUGGUAAGCCGUGUGACUCACUGUUCAUCGAAUUGGGGCCACACGGGCUGGCAUACGGGCGUGUGUCCAGGUCGUGUGUAGCCAAAAUAGUACAGGGUUCACACGGGUAUGAGACAAAGGCAUGUGUCUAGGCCAUGUAACUCACUGUUUAUGACUUAGGACCAUACGGGUAGGCACACGGGCAUGUGUGUCUAGGCCAUGUGAGUCACAUGGGCAAAGACACGGCCAUGUUUCCAAACCGUGCAACUUUCUAUUUACAAGUUGGAACCACACAGGCAGAGGGCAUGGGCGUGUGCCCAAGCCGUGUGAGCCAUACUGGCAAGGACAUGGCCGUGUGCCCAGGUCAUGUGGCUGUAUAAAGGAGGCCCAAAACCCGUUUUUGAGGCCGUAAUUGUGGUCUAUGAUUGAUAAUGAUUAACCAUUGUAUGAAUGAUCUGAACUGGAUUGAGUGAGAUCUCUCUAAUACUCUGUAACUGCCACAAGAAUGUUAUAACUGCAAGUGUAUUGUGAAUAUAUGUACUCUGUAUAUGCAUGGGCCGAGAUGUUGUGAAGAAGGAAGUAACCUACUCUGAAUCAGCGGUUGAGCCACUUUAUGAGUAGUUCUAAUUCUGGCGCUAUGACGCAUUAUGAUCCAAUAGCUAAGCCGUGUUACUGUAAACAUGUCAAAUAGAUACUUCGCAGUGUGUAGGGAUGGAUGGGCAUUGAAUGUCCUUAAUGGUGUGUUAGGAUGGUCGAAAAUGGUGUGUAGCGGAUGAGAUUUAGGAAUAUCUGCAUUUAAAUUUGAUCUGUGAUAUAUAUACAUGUGAAAUUGUGCAUAUAUAAAUAUCUAUCUGUGUACAACUGAUCUGUUCUUAAUCUGAAUUGUAAAUAGUCUUGUAUCGAGCCGAAUCUAUAAAUAUAACUAUUUUAUAAAUGAAUACGAAUUGAAUAACUUAACUUUGGUUACGCACUGAGUUUACAACUCAUUUUGUUUUGGUUGGAUUUCAGGUGAACCCCAGUCUUGAUCAGGUCGGUGUUGCUGGAGCUCGGUCAAACUUUUAUCUUCUUUUAAGCACUACUAUUAGAGAUUUAGAUUCUAUGGUGUUAUGGAAUCUAUGGAGAUUAUAUGUUUUAAAUUAUUAUUGUCACGAAUGUUGCGUAAUGAAUGGUGUCGUUCGACUGUGUUAUGAUAGUCUGAAUUUUAGUACGGAUGAUGUAACUCUCCAAACUUGGUCUGGACGUCUAGACCGGAUCUAGGGUGUUAUAUUUAGUGGUAUCAGAGCCAGGUUUGCCAGCAUUCGGACUGUGUUUGGGCUCAUAAUGUGGUAGAAAAGUAGUUUAGUGAUAAUUAGUAUCUGAACUAAUAUAGAAACACUGAAACUCUAGAGAACAGCCGAGCCUCCGACGCUGACCCUGUAAGUAUUUCUAUUCUGUUAUAAAGAUUAUGACCCUUAUACUGUUGUGGGUAAAAUGUUCUGAUGUAAACUGGUAAAAUUAUCCUACUGGAUAUCUGAACUAAUCUGUGUACUCUGAUAUUAUAGCUAGAUUGCGUUAUGAGUUCGUACGGUAGUCGUGGAUGUGGGAUGUGUAACGGCCUAAUUUUCAGUGGUGUCGGAAAUAGUGAUUUGAGAUCACUAAAUUCGACAAAUAAGAUUGAACAAGAUAGUAAUUUAAUAUUUAUGAGUCAAGUAAGAAUUUAGAAGAAUUUGUGAAAUGGUGAAAUUAGUGAAUUAAAAGAAUUUAUUAGGUCAAACGGGUCAAAAAUGAGGUAUCGAGACCUCAAAGUUGAAAAUUGAGGUAUAAAUAUUUUUAUAAAUAUUUAUGUAGUGUCAUUGAGUUAGUAUUAAAGUUUUGUUAGACAAUUUUAACGUUUGGAUGGCUAAUUAAUUAAAAAGGACUAAAUUGAAAAUAGCGCAAAAUUUGUUAAAUUGUGAGUAAAUAGCUUAAGUAUUUAAAAAGAUGGAUUUAAAGAGCAAUUAGACCCAAAGAUUAAUGGCUGGACGGUUUGGGUAUGAAAUAAGCAAGAAAACAAUGUGAAUAAGGGGCAAAAUUGGAAAUAGCAUAAAAGUUAAUAGUUAAAUAAUGAUGUAAUUGAAAAAUCUAGACAUUUCUUCAUAUUUUCUCAGCCAAAACGCCAUAUAAGGUCUGGAGAAAGCUGGUUUUUCAUAUUUUUACAUCAUGUGAGUUUAAUUCUUACUUUUCUUGAUAAUUUUUAUGUUUUUAUGACUUUUACAAUUAGGUCCACUUGUAGAAUUCAUUAGUUUUUUAUUUUAUGGGUGAAAUUGGAAGUUACCCUGGAUGGAUAAGGGAAUUUUAUGAUGAAUUAUUAUGAAAUUUAAGUUCUAAUUUCAUAUUAAGGUGGUUUUAUUAAGUGAUUUUGAUAGGAAAUGAUAUUUAGGACCUAAUUGUGAAAAAGUUGUGAAUUGAAGGUUUCUUUUGAAAUUAAGAAUAUAAAAGGUUUUGAAAUAGUUUAUAAUGAUAAAAUAAAGUGUUAAUUGAGAAAAAUCAGUUCAAUUGAUGGGUGAAUUGAGCAGGGACUAAAUUGUGAAAACUAUAAAUUUUGGGGUAAAAGUGCAAUUUCAAAAUUUGAACAGCAUAAAUUGUGAAGUGAAAUAGAAUUGAAAUGGAUGCUAAUGAAGGAAUGAUUUUAUAAUUAUAGAUCAAGAAAACGAACUGAAUCGUGGAAAGGAGAAAAUUCAAGAAUAGUCCCUAAAUUUCUACGACUUUUGCAAAUUAGUCCAGGUAAGUUCAUAUGGCAAAGUUCAAUGUUUUGAUAUGAAAAUCUUAUGAUUGUUAAAGUAUUUUAUUGUUGAUUAAUACUAUCAAUUUGCAUUAACUAAUGAAUAAUAUGUAACUAAAAGUACAAAUUAGUAGGAACAAUGGAUUUAAGUGCUUCUAUUCUGUGACCCUGAUGAAUUGACGAAAAAUAUGUGAUAAGUGUGCCCGUUUAAGACCAUAGCUGGGCUAUGGCAUCGGUGCAAUGUGAUAAUAUGACUCCGUAUAAGACCAUAACUGGGCUAUGGCAUCGGUAUAAUGUGAUAAUGUGAUUCCGUAUAAGACCAUGUCUGGGAUAUGACUUCGGUAUGAUAUGUGAACCGUGUAAGACCAUGGGAAGGCUAUGGCUUCGGUGUGUGAUGCGUAACAAUGUGAAAGUCCAUAGUUUACUAUGGCAAUGUGAUAAUGAAGCACUCAAUUCCCUUAUUGUUCCUUAAAUUGACAAUGAAGUAAAUGAGAAAUGGGCCUAAGGGAGUUAAAUUGUGAGUAGCCAUAUGGAAAUUAUUCCAAUGAGUUAUUAAUGAAAUUGUGAUUUGGAGGAUGAAAUAGUUAAACUAAUAGAUAUAAGAUUGUGUACGAUAUUUGAUAUGAUUUGUGUUUAUAUGCCUAUGAGCUUACUAAGCUUCAAUAAGCUUACUUGUGUGUGUUUAAUAUUUUUAUGUAGAUUGACUUGAAGUGAAGUGGGUAGAUCGGAUCAACACAACAGGGCACACUAUUCAGAUCAAUUCUGGUAGUUUUUGUUUUAUGUUUAAAGAUUUAUAUGGCAUGUAUAGAGUUUGAAUGAAUUGAAGUAAAGAUGUUAUGAACUAGUUAACAAUAUUUGUACUAAAAUAGUUUUUGGUAAGUAGCAGUAGUUUGACUUUGAAAAUUCACCAUAAAUUUUGGAAAUUGAGUUAAGGGCUGGAAAAAAAAUGAGAUUAAAGCCUAAUGAGUCUAGUUUCAUAUAGAGGAAACGGUGCAUGCAAUUGGAUUUUAUGUUAUGAGAUAUUUAAAUUGUGGUGAGACAGAGUCUGAAUGACUUCGAGUUCCCCUGUUCUAAUUUUAGAAAAUAAUUAAAAAUUGCAAAAAAAUAAUUAUGAGUCAUACUGUAUAUGUAUGGAUUCCUAAUUGGGUCUAUUUUUAAGAGAAACAAACGGCAUGGUUAAUUGAAUUUUGUACAGAGAGAAAUUUGGUUCGUAGUGCACAGGGGUCAAAGUAGCCAAACCCUGAAAUAGGGGAGGAUUUAACUAAUAAACUGUACUAAUUGGACCAACAAAAAAUUAUAAAAAAAAUUGGUAAGUAGAUAUAUGAGUAUAAAUUCGGGGAAAAUUUACGGAUUUGGGUUUCGAGUUUUAUAACUCGAGAUAUGAAUUAUUUAGCAACUAUGACACAGUUGGACAGCUUGUCUGAAAAGUAUGAUAUAAAUUAUCUAAAUUUGGUUAAGUGCUCAAAUAAGUUUAGUAGUGCCUUGUGCUUGACUCCGGCAACGGUCUCGGGUAAGGGGCGUUACAUUUAUUGGUAUCAAAGCCAGGUUUAGCCGAUUCUCGGAAUAUGUAUGAUGUGAAAAGUGUCUAGAAUUACAUGCCAUAUAAAUCUGUGAUAGUGUGCUGUGUAUGAUCCGAUCUAAUCCUUGCUUUUAUUAUAGAUUAUCUUCGAUUUGAAAAAUGUCAGAUAGACCAGAACAAACUGAGCAAGAAGAAGUUAAUAGCAGAGUACAAACCUCUGAACAAGGAACAAGUAGUAAAGCUCUGAUUUCAUUGAUGCGAGAACAAGAACUCAAAAAUAUGAUUUAUGGAUUCAUGAAUCAGUGGUAUAAUGAGAAUGUGCGAGAAAGAAAUCAGACUACACAACCUCCUCCCCCUAUCUCAACAUCUGUAGUACCCCCGGUUGCUCCUCGACCUCCUCCGACAACUGAAUCUGGCAAACGUUCACCAUUUGAAAAGCUCAGAAAACAUGGGGCUGAAGAAUUUCGGGGAAGAACAGAUGAUGACCCCGUUAAAGCUGAAUAUUGGUUACAAAGUAUAAUGAGGGUUUUUAAGCAAAUGGCAUGCUCACCAGAUGAUUACUUAAUAUGUGCCGUGUCAUUAUUGAAAGAAGAAGCUUAUAACUAGUGGGAAACAAUAGAAGCUGUUGUACCGGCUGAGAAGAUCACUUGGGAAUUUUUUCAAAAUGAAUUUAAGAAGAAAUAUAUCGGUAGAAGAUAUCUGGAUAAGAAGAAAAGAGAAUUUCUCGACUUGCGACAGGGAAACAAGUCAGUGGCUGAAUAUGAAAGAGAAUUUGUUUAUCUGAGCAAAUAUGCUCGAGAUAUAAUACCCACAGAAGAAGAAAUGUGUAUCAGAUUUGAAGAAGGGCUUAAUGAUGAGAUUAAAAUGAUGAUAGGGGGCAUUGAGAUACGAGAAUUUGUUGUUCUAUCAGAUCGUGCUCAGAAGCUUGAAGAAGUAUAUAAUAAAAAGAUGCAACGAGAUAGAAGAAGUAAAGAAUCUUUCAAAAGAAGUGCAUCUAAGUCAUUUUCGGCUUUACCAGUGAAGAAAUCUAAAGAGGAAUUCAGUCGAGCCACUUCAGUAUCGGAAAGAUCAGGAAAAAGUAGGCCAAGACAAUCUGAUUACAAAGCAUCUGACAGACCUGCUGUUAGUGUGGGUAGUGUACAAAAUACCCAAAGGCCUAAGUGUUAACAUUGUGGAAGAAGUCACCCCGGUGAAUGUAGAAGUACGUUAGGGGCUUGUUAUAAAUGUGGGGCCACUGAUCACUUUAUUCGUGAUUGUCCCCAAUUACAAGUAGAAGAAGUGGAACAGAGGGAGAAACAGAAAAUUCUUCCUCAAAAAGGAAGACGCUCUGGUCAGAGCAGUGCUACAGGGGCUACUCGUUCGGGUAUGAAAGAUACUGCUAGCCGAUCAGAAGUUAGGGCUCCUGCUCGUACUUAUGCCAUUCGAGCGAGAGAAGAAGCAACAGCUCCAGAUGUAAUUGCUGGUACUUUCUAUCUUUAUGAUGUUCCUGUGUAUGCUUUAAUAGACCCUGGGUCUACUCAUUCAUAUAUUUGCACUAUGUUAGCAUCUGAAAAGAACUUAUUUGUUGAGCUUACUGAUUAUGAUGUACAAGUUACAAAUCCGUUAGGUCAAAGUGUGGUAGUUAAUUUAAUAUGUCAUAACUGUCCACUGAAAGUUAAGGGCUGUGAUUUCCCCGCUGAUUCGAUGCUGCUACCCUUUCGUGAAUUUGAUAUUAUCUUGGGCAUGGACUGGUUAAUGAAACAUGAUGCGGUAGUGAAUUGUCGAGAAAAACUAAUUAGCUUGAAAUGUCAAACAGGAGAUAUUGUUUUGGUUGAGUUUGGGAAUUUGGAUGACAUGGUUAGAAUGAUUUCCUUUAUGUCUGCUCAGAAAUUGUUGCGUAAAGGAAAUGAGGCUUAUUUAGCCUAUAUUCUUGAUACUCGAAGUUCUAAAUCAAAGUUAGAGCAACUAUCUGUUGUAAAUGAAUUCAUGGAUGUAUUUCCUGAAGAAUUACCAGGUUUACCACCCGAUAGAGAAGUUGAGUUCGUGAUAGAUGUUUCCAGGAACAGCUCCCAUAUCAGUGACACCGUAUAGAAUGGCUCCAGCAGAAUUAAGAGAGUUAAAAGCGCAGUUACAAGAACUGUUAGACAAAGGGUUUAUCAGACCGAGUAUGUCACCAUGGGGUGCACCUGUCUUAUUUGUGAAAAAGAAGGAUGGUUCAUUGAGGCUGUGCAUAGAUUACAGGCAGCUGAAUAAGGUAACAAUUAAAAAUAAAUAUCCUUUGCCUCGUAUUGAUGAUUUAUUCGAUCAGCUUAAGGAUGCUACAGUGUUUUCAAAAAUAGAUCUCAGAUCUGGGUAUUAUCAGUUAAAGGUAAAGGAAUGUGAUGUACCGAAAACAGCUUUUAGAACUCGGUAUGGUCAUUAUGAGUUCUUAGUUAUGCCAUUCGGUUUGACAAAUGCUCCUGUUGCUUUUAUGGAUUUAAUGAAUCAAAUUUUCCAGUCUUACCUGGAUAGAUUUGUGGUUGUGUUUAUUGAUGAUAUACUGAUCUAUUCAAAGACAGAAUCCGAGCAUGCUCAGCACUUGAGAAUUGUACUACAGAUAUUAAGGGAAAAACAGUUAUAUGCAAAAUUUAGUAAAUGUGAAUUUUGGCUUCAUGAAGUGGGAUUCUUGGGUCACAUUGUGUCAGUUGAUGGUAUACGGGUAGAUCCGAGAAAGGUGUCAGCGGUGAUUAAUUGGAAAACUCCAAAGAAUGUUACGGAAGUGCGAAGUUUCCUUGGAUUAGCUGGUUACUAUCGUCGAUUUGUGAAAGAUUUUUCACUGAUUGCUUCACCGAUAACUAAAUUAUUACAGAAGAAUGUUGAGUUUGUAUGGUCUGAUGAGUGCCAACAAAGUUUUGAUCAAUUAAAGAAAAUGUUGACAGAGGCUCCGGUGUUAACUCAGCCUGAAUCAGGUGUGCCAUAUGUAGUAUAUAGUGAUGCAUCUCUGAAUGGUUUAGGUUGUGUAUUGAUGCAAUCAGGAAAAGUUGUAGCAUAUGCUUCUCGACAGUUGAAACCACAUGAGAGGAACUACCCUACACAUGAUCUUGAAUUAGCUGCCAUAGUAUUUGCUUUAAAAAUUUGGAGACACUACCUAUAUGGAGAGAAAUGUUAUGUGUAUAUAGACCAUAAAAGUUUGAAAUAUUUAAUGUCGCAGAAAGAGCUGAAUUUGAGACAGAGGCGAUGGUUAGAGCUGUUGAAAGAUUACGAUCUUAUCAUUGAUUAUCAUCCGGGUAAGGCAAAUAUAGUGGCAGAUGCACUUAGUCGGAAAUCAUCAUUAUUUGCUCUUCGGGCGUUAAAUGCUCAUUUGUCUGUUAAUGAAAAUGGUUCUAUAUUAGCUGAAUUAAAGACAAAACCAGUAUUCUUUCAACGAAUUCGGGAAUUGCAAGAUGAAGAUCCGAAGUUGGUGUUGAAACGACAAAUGGUUCGGGAUAAUUUGAACUUAGAUUACUCUAUUGAUAAUAGUGGUAUGUUAUACCAUCGUAAUAGAAUUUGUGUCCCGAGUAAUCUAGAAUUGAAGAAGGAUAUCUUAUCAGAGGCUCAUAGUAGUAUGUACUCGAUUCAUCCGGGUAGUACGAAGAUGUAUUGUGAUUUGAAGAAAAAGUAUUGGUGGCCUGGUAUGAAACGAGAAAGUUGUGAAUUUGUGGCAAAAUGUUUAAUCUGUCAACAGGUAAAAGCUGAACAUCAAGUGCCUACAGGUUUGUUACAACCCGCAAUGAUUCCAGAAUGGAAGUGGGAACAUGUGACGAUGGAUUUUGUAUCUGGAUUGCCAGUGACUCCGAAGAAAAAAGAUUCGAUUUGGGUGAUAGUAGACAGAUUCACUAAAUGAGCGCAUUUUAUUCCGGUCAGAAUAGAUUUUUCACUUGAUAAGUUAGCGGAAUUAUAUGUGUCAGAAAUUGUGAGAUUACAUGGGGUGCCGACAUCAAUUAUUUCUGAUCGAGAUCCGAGGUUUACUUCGAGAUUUUGGAAUAAACUACAGGAAGCUUUAGGUACUAAGUUAAAAUUUAGUACAGCUUUUCACCCUCAGACAGAUGACAAUCAGAGCGAGUGAUUCAGAUUUUGGAAGAUAUGUUAAGGUGUUGUAUACUCGAGUUCAGUGGCAGCUGGGAAAGGUACUUACCUUUAGCUGAAUUUGCUUAUAAUAACAGUUAUCAAGCUAGUAUCAAAAUGGCACCGUUUGAAGCUCUGUAUGGAAGGAAGUGCAGAACCCCAUUGUAUUGGUCAGAAUUAAGUGAAUCGAAAUUAGUCGGAGUGGAUUUAAUUCGGGAAACUGAAAAGAAAGUUCAGAUUAUUCGGGAAAGUUUGAAAGCUGCUUCCGAUCGUCAAAAGUCGUAUGCAGAUUUGAAAAGAAGAGAUAUAGAGUUCAAUGUGGGUGAUCGUGUGUUCUUGAAAGUUUCUCCGUGGAAGAAAGUUUUACGGUUUGGUAGAAAAGGAAAGCUUAGUCCACGAUUUAUCGGACCAUAUGAAAUCAUUGAGAGGAUCGGUCCGGUAGCUUAUAGAUUGGCCUUGCCUCCAGAACUUGAGAAGAUCCAUAAUGUAUUUCAUGUAUCUAUGUUGAGACGAUAUAGUUCAGACCCUUCACAUGUGAUUCCUCAUACUGAGAUAGAGCUACAAUCAGAUAUGACUUAUUCGGAGGAACCAGUGAAAAUAUUAGCUCGGGAAGUUAAAGAACUACGGAAUAAACAGUACCGUUAGUAAAAGUGUUAUGGCAUCAACAUGGAUUGGAGGAGGCAACCUGGGAAACAGAAGAGUCAAUGAGAUCACAGUAUCCAAAUCUGUUUUCAGGUAACAAAUUUUGAGGACGAAAUUUUUAAAGGGGGAGAGUUGUAACGGCCUAAUUUUCAGUGGUGUCGGAAAUGGUAACGACUUUUGCAAAUUAGUCCAGGUAAGUUCAUAUGGCAAAGUUCAAUGUUUUGAUAUGAAAAUCUUAUGAUUGUUAAAGUAUUUUAUUGUUGAUGAAUACUAUCAAUUUGCAUUAACUAAUGAAUAAUGUGUAACUAAAAGUACAAAUUAGUAGGAACAAUGGAUUUGAGUGCUUCUAUUCUGUGACCCUGAUGAAUUGAUGAAAAAUAUGUGAUAAGUGUGCCCGUUUAAGACCAUAGCUGGGCUAUGGCAUCGGUGCAAUGUGAUAAUAUGACUCCGUAUAAGACCAUAGCUGGGCUAUGGAUCGGUAUAAUGUGAUAAUGUGAUUCUGUAUAAGACCAUGUCUGGGAUAUGGCUUCGGUAUGAUAUGUGAACCGUGUAAGACCAUGGGAAGGCUAUGGCUUCGGUGUGUGAUGCGUAACAAUGUGAAAGUCCAUAGUUUACUAUAGCAAUGUGAUAAUGAAGCACUCAAUUCCCUUAUUGUUCCUUAAAUUGACAAUGAAGUAAAUGAGAAAUGGGCCUAAGGGAGUUAAAUUGUGAGUAGCCAUAUGGAAAUUAUUCCAAUGAGUUAUUAAUGAAAUUGUGAUUUGGAGGAUGAAAUAGUUAAACUAAUAGAUAUAAGAUUGUGUACGAUAUUUGAUAUGAUUUGUGUUUAUAUGCCUAUGAGCUUACUAAGCUUCAAUAAGCUUACUUGUGUGUGUUUAAUAUUUUUAUGUAGAUUGACUUGAAGUGAAGUGGGUAGAUCGGAUCAACACAACAGGGCACACUAUUCAGAUCAAUUCUGGUAGUUUUUGUUUUAUGUUUAAAGAUUUAUAUGGCAUGUAUAGAGUUUGAAUGAAUUGAAGUAAAGAUGUUAUGAACUAGUUAACAAUAUUUGUACUAAAAUAGUUUUUGGUAAGUAGCAGUAGUUUGACUUUGAAAAUUCACCAUAAAUUGUGGAAAUUGAGUUAAGGGCUGGAAAAAAAAAUGAGAUUAAAGCCUAAUGAGUCUAGUUUCAUAUAGAGGAAACGGUGCAUGCAAUUGGAUUUUAUGUUAUGAGAUAUUUAAAUUGUGGUGAGACAGAGUCUGAAUGACUUCGAGUUCCCCUGUUCUGAUUUUAGAAAAUCAUUAAAAAUUUCACAAAAAUAAUUAUGAGUCAUACUGUAUAUGUAUGGAUUCCUAAUUGGGUCUAUUUUUAAGAGAAACAAAUGGCAUGAUUAUUUGAAUUUUGUACAGAGAGAAAUUUGGUUCGUAGUGCACAGGGGUCAAAGUAGCCAAACCCUGAAAUAGGGGAGGAUUUAACUAAUAAACUGUACUAAUUGGACCAACCAAAAAUUAUAAAAAAAUUGGUAAGUAGAUAUAUGAGUAUAAAUUCGGGGAAAAUUUACGGAUUUGGGUUUCGAGUUUUAUAACUCGAGAUAUGAAUUAUUUAGCAACUAUGAUGCAGUUGGACAGCUUGUCUGAAAAGUAUGAUAUAAAUUAUCUAAAUUUGGUUAAGUGCUCAAAUAAGUUUAGUAGUGCCUUGUGCUCGACUCCGGCAAUGGUCUUGGGUAAGGGGCGUUACAGGAUGCGGGGGCGUCGAGGACGCCGAUGAGGAGUUCGAGCAGAGUCAUCCUCUAUGGGUAGUACGCCCAAUCUGGAGACCAGCGAGACUGUUGGACUCCCACUGCGGAGACGGAGUCCUAGACUCCAAUGGCUGGGGAUGACGAACUAUACCAGGCCAUGAUACAAGCACUGGAUAGGGUCGGUAGGACCCGUUCAAGAUCAAUAUAAGAAAAACCUUUUUACUUAAAUAAAAAGUAAUUAAAUAAAUAUAUUACAAAUAUAUAAAUAUAUGCAUUACACUUGUAUAAUUUAAUCACCAUACAUCUGUCUUUAUUUUAAUUUAUUUUCAAUAAUAAUAAUCAUAAUUUAUUAAUAUAAAUUAUAAUUUGAUAGAAUAAUAAUGAUAAAUAAUAAAUAUCUAUUUACUUAAAUAAAAAGUAAUUAAAUAAAUAUCUUACAAAUGUAUUCAUACUAUUAUUACAUUUGUAUAUUUUUAUCAUCAUACGCUUGACUUUAAUUUAAUUUAAUUCAUAAUAUGAUAUUUAUAAUUAAUUAGUUUAAUAGUUUAUUUUAUAAUUAAAUUAUAUAUAUUUACAUGAUUAAAAUCUAAAAAUAUCUUAGAUUUUAACAUGUUUGCCGCCUUAAGUUAUGCUAAAUGGCUUAUUUGCCAUUUUAGUCCUUUUUACUUUCUAUUAAUUUAUAAUUCAACUUUUACCCCCUUUUCAAUUUAAUCCUUUUUCCUAAUAAAUAUUUACGAACCCAUUUCGCUAAGACAAAGGCCCGAUAAUGUACUUUUUCAAUGCCCGUGAAUUUUGGGUCAUUAUACGGGAGGCUGCAGGUCAGUUACUGAACGACUCCAAUCAAAUGGGGCUGAAUUAUUCAGGGGUGUCUUAGGAGUCGCUCCCACUGUUUUUGAGUAUUGGCUCGAGGCUACCGAGUGUAUUAUGACAGAUCUUGAUUGUACUCCUACUCAGAAAUUGAAGGGUGCUGUGUCCCUACUCCGAGACGAAGCUUAUCAAUGGUGAUUAACCGUUGAGCAAGGUGCUCAACUUGAACAAGUGAUCUAGGACUAUUUCAAGAACGUCUUCCAGGGUAAAUAUGUGGGGGCGAGUUAUGUCGAGGCUCGCUGACGUGAGUUUAAGGGUCUAGUUUAGGGUGACCAGUCUGUGGCUGAAUAUGAAGUUGAGUUUCUGCGACUGAGUAGAUAUGCACGGACUUUAGUAACGUCUGACUAUAAUACGUUUGUGUGAUUUAAGGAGGAAUUGAGGUAUGACCUGCGAGUCCUGAUAGCUUCUCAGAGAAAGUGAGUUUUCGCGAUUCUGAUUGACAAAGCGAAGAUAGUGGAAGAAGUGAAGCGCACUGAGCGUGAGCGUCGUGAUCAUGAGAAGGAUCAGAAUAAGAUUAAGAGGGAUUCGUGUCCCUCUGGUCCUUGUCAGCGCCCUAAGAAACGGGCGAGAAUUCAUAGGCCCUUGAGGGUCGAGACAUCAAUGGUGACGAUUGAGAUUCAACUGUGCAGUGAUUGUGGGAAACACCAUCUGGGCGAGUUUGGAGGAAAAUGGGAGCAUGUCUCUAUUGCGAUUCGAUGAAACAUCGUGUUAGGGAUUGCCCCCGUCGACUUGAUUCAGUGCCAACUACGGUACAGAUUUCGGCUCCAAAUUCUGUUCAACUUCUAAGAGAGGUUCAGCAACCAUUCCGAGGUCGUGGCACUGGUAGGGGUGGUAAUGGGUCUAGAAGAGGACAAAUGACACUGGGUAGAGGUGCAGAUCAGGCUGAGGCUCGUCAGCUGACUCUGGUUUAUGCGGCGAGAUGCUGUAAAGAGAGCGAUUAUGCUAAUGUCAUUGUAGGUACCUUCUUUAUUCAUUCUGUUCCGUAUUAUGCUCUCAUUGAUAUUUGCUCUACUUACUCGUAAAUAGCUAGUGUUGUUUGUGUAAAUCUGGGUUUAACUGCUGAAAAUACUGUUAAAGAGGUUUUUAUGAUUAGUCCACUAGUCAGUCCGAGUUGAUAGAAUAUACAAACGGAUACCUCUAGAACUUCAGGGCAUGGUAUUUCCAGCUAAUUUAAUGGAAUUUCCCUUUAAUGAGUUUGACUUGAUUUUGGGAGUGGAUUUUCUUAUUGAGUAUCGGGUCAGUCUAGAUUGUGGAACUAAGAGGGUUACUCUAAGACCAACUGAGAAUGACGAGGUGGUUAUGGUUGGUGAGCACCGAGAUUAUCUCUCUAAUGUAAUCUCUGCUCUUGUAGCUGAUAAGUUAGUUCGAAAGGUUUGCGAGGCAUACAUUGCUUACGUAUCUAAUUCUACUCCCGAAAAGCUUCCAGUAGGAGAUAUUUGCACUGUAAAGGAAUUUCUAGAUGUUUUUCCAGAGGAAUUGCUAGGUGUACCCCCGAAGAGAAUGGUGGCGUUUGGAAUUGACCUGUUACCAGGUACUGCUCCAGUGUUUAUUGUGCCUUACCGCAUGGCACCAAAGAAACUGACUGAAUUAAAGUACAACUUCAAGAACUCUUUGAUAAAUGAUUUAUUUGACCGAAUAUAUCUCCGUAGGGGGUACAGUAUUAUUUGUUAAGAAGAUGGAUGGGUUGAUGAGAAUGUGCAUUGACUAUAAGCAGUUGAACAAGUUGACAAUCAAUAAUAAGUAUCCGUUACUGAGGAUUGAUGACUUGUUCGACCAGUUUCGGGUAGCGUCUGUCUUUUUUAAAAUUGACCUACACUCGGGUUACCAUCAGCUCAAGGUCAAAGAGACUGAUGUGUACAAAACUGUGUUUAGGACUCGUUAUGGACAUUACGAGUUUUUGAUAAUGCCUUUCAGAUUAACGAAUGCCCCGGCGGUGUUUAUGGAUUUAAUGAAUCGAGUGUUUCAAUCGAGUGGUUUUCAUCGAUGAUAUCUUGAUCUACUCUAAAAUGGAAACUGAGCAUGUUUAUCAUCUUCGUAUUGUACUUCAGAUACUCCGAGAAAAAUAGUUGUAUGCCAAGUUUAGUAAGUGUGAGUUUUGGUUGCAAGAAGUCGUAUUUUUGGGUCAUAUGGUGACGGCGGAGGUGAUCCAAGUUGAUCCCAGGAAAUCCUAAGCUGUUGUUGAGUGGAAACAGCUGAAAAAUGUAUCUGAGCUUCGUAGCUUCUUGGGUUUAGUUGGGUACUACAAAAGGUUUGCGGAAGGGUUUUCCCUAAUUACGUCACAUUUGACGAAGCUGUUACGUGAGAAUACUCCAUUCGAGUGGUCUGAAUCAUAACAAUUUAGUUUUGAUAAACUCAAGUCCAUUCUGACACAAGCUCCUAUCUUAGUUCAACCGGAAUCAAGUCUGGAGUUUGUGGUUUACGGUGAUGCUUCACAUGUCGAGUUAGGAUAUGUGCUUAUACAAGACGGUAAGGUGGUCAUUUACGCAUCACGACAACUUAAGACACACGAGGGUAACUACCCUACGCAUGAUCUUGAACUAGUUGCAGUUAUGUUUGCUUCGAAAAUUUAGAGACACUAUCUGUAUGGUGAAAGGUUGUUAUAUAUACCGAUCACAAGAGUCUCAAAUACUUGUUUACUCAAAAAGAGUUAAACCUUCGUCAGCACUGAUGGGUUGAGUUACUUAAAGACUAUGAUUGCACCAUAGAAUACCAUCUAGGGAAAGCUAAUAUGGUAACUGAUGCCCUUAACCAUAGAGCAAUGACUCACCUGAGAGCAAUGUUCGCUUGUUUGAGUUUGGUUGGGGAUAGAGGACUGUUGGCAGAAUUACAGGUUAGAUCGAGUUGGGAAGAGCAGAUUCGAGCUAAACAGCUGAAUGAUGGGACCUUAGUGCAGCAAUUGUGACAUGUGGGUUCAAACGAGAAUUUCGAUUUUAGCUUGAAUAGUGAUAGUGUGUUAUGCUUCAAAGGGCAGAUUUAUGUACCCAAUGAUUAGGAGUUAAGGCAUCCAAUCCUACAAGAGGCGCACAACAAUCCCUAUGCUAUACAUCCUGGAAGUAACAAAAUGUAUCAAAAUCUCUGAGAACUCUACUGGUGACCCGGAAUGAAAUAGGAGGUAGUAGCUUUUGUGUCCUACUGCCUGACGUGUCAAAAGGUUAAGACAGAACAUCAGUUGCCAUCCAAGUUGCUUCAACCAGUUAAAAUUCCUCAGUGGUGGUGAGAGCGGAUAACAAUGAAUUUUGUUACGAGGUUGCCUUUAACCCCAACUAACAAAGAUUUGACUUGGGUCAUCGUUGAUCGAUUGACCAAAUCAGCCCACUUCCUCCCUAUUCAAACAGAUUACUCCUUACAAAUGUUAGCUAAACUGUAUAUCGCCGAAAUUGUGAUAUUACAAAGGAUUCAUGUCUCAAUCAUCUCGAACAGAGAUCUACAAUUUACUUCUCGAUUCUAGAAGAAACUAUAUGAGACCUUAGGCACCCGACUUAAUUUGAGCACUACGUAUCACCCCCAGACUGAUGGACAGUCGGAGUGAGUUAUUCAGAUCUUAGAGGAUAUGAUCCGAGGUUGCGUGAUAGACUUCAAGUGUAGUUAGAAGGAGUACCUGCCAUUGGCCGAGUUUGCAUAUAAUAACAACUUCCAGUCUAGUAUUCACACAGCACCCUACGACGCCUUAUAUGGCUGUAGGUGUCGUUGAUGGUCGCUAAGCUAACUAAAAAUUCGACUAAGGCAAGCGCUCCUAUCAAACAGUAGUAUAGUUAUGGUGAGACCGGAAAUAUCGUAUCCACAAGGACUAAAAGUACUAGUAAUUACUAUCUUUUUAUUAUUUAGCCUAACAAUUAAAAGAAUGUUUUAAUUAAGACUAAUUAUCUAAUUAACUAAGAUUACGACAGAGAUAAAAGUUGAAAAAUAUUGUUUAGAAAACAGAUGUAGAAGACAAUACCCAAAAAAGAAUCCACCUAGACUUCACUUAUUAUUUCUGAAUUAGACGAUUUAUUCAUUUGACUUAAUUCAUAGAAAUCUCUAAUUUAUGUUAAUAUCUCUCUCGAGAUUAAAAACAACUGACUCUAGGUUGAUUAAUCAAAAUCUCUUUCUAAUUAAAACCCUUAUUGUCGCAUUAACUCGAUCUAUGAUUCCCUUAUUAGAUUUGACUAUAAUCCGACAAAUUUAUGUCGUCCUAUCUCUAAGAUUGCAUGCAACUCGGCUUAAUUUUGGGGGAUCUACUCUUAAACAGGGACUUUUGCUCCACUGAAUAAGCACAUCAAAACCUAAAUUAAUAUCCUGAAAUAUUAAAGCAAGGAUUAAAACUCACAAUUAAGAAUAAGAACAAAUAUUUAUCAUAUAAUGCAAAUAAUAAUAAGAUCCGUCUUAGGUUUCAUCUCUCUUAGGUAUUUAGGGAGUUUAGUUCAUAAUAAGGUAAAACAUCUCAAAGUUGGGAAAACAAAAAAACAUAAAGAAACCCAAAGAACUUUUAGGGAAAUUGAAUAGAGAUCUUCAGUCUUGAAGUAGAUCCUGCUUCCGAGCUACUUCCAAUGGCUAUCAUUGAGUAUUUUUUGCCUUCUACUCUCCAUGUCCCUUUUAAUCCUCUUUUUCGGUGUUUAUAUAGACUUUGGAUUGCUUUAAAACCCUCUAAAUUAUCCUUUUCCGAGUAGAAUUAGACUUGGGCUCGAUAGGGACAUGGCCGUGUGCCACGCCUGUAUGAAGGUGCUCAAACCGUAUGUAAUUCUGAGUUAGUUUUUAGUUGACACAGCCAUGACACACGGGCAUGCGGCCUGCCCGUGUGCCUCGUACGGGCGUGUGGUUUACCCGUGUGGAAGUGCCUAGGCCGUGUGAAAUACUGAGAUAAGCCCAUUUUGUCCGUUUUUGGCCCGUUUCUUGCUCUUUUCACCUUCCUUUGCUCACCUAAGUAUAAAACUUGAAUUUAAAGGAUUAGGAGCAUCAAAUUCAUUAAAUCUUAUGUUAAAUCAUUCAAAAAUAUGCCAGGCAUAGGAUAAAAAUAUGUAUAUAUUAUGGUUUAUCAGUCGUAUUCCGUUAUGUUGAACUGAAUUAAGUGAACGUCGGGUAUUGGGUCCUGAACAGGUUUCUGAGACUGAGAACAUAGUGAAAGUGAUUUGUGAUCAUUGAAAGUAGCCUCUAAUAGACAAAAGUCUUAUGCAUAUAGUGAAAGUGAUUUGUGAUCAUCUGAAAGUAGCCUCUAAUAGACAAAAGUCUUAUGCAUACUUGAAAAGAAAGGAUAUUGAAUUUUUGAUAGGUGACCAGGUGUUUCUGAAAGUAUCACCUUAGAAGAAGGUUCUCUGAUUUGGGUGCAAGGGUAAGCUGAGCUCGAGAUUCAUUGGACCAUACCGCAUUCUGAAGUAGGUCGGACCUGUUGCAUAUCAGUUGGAGUUAUCGUCGAAACUAGAACAAAUUCAUGAUGUAUUCCAUUUUUCAAUGUUGAGAUGGUAUAGGUCAGAUCCGUCAUAUGUUGUUAUUGUCGACGAGAUUGAAUUGCAACUGGACUUAACUUUCGAGGAGCGGGACAUCAGGGUGCUGAGGAAGAAAUCUAUUCCUCUAGUGAAAGUUCUUUGGCGAAACAACGGUACUGAGGAAGCCACGUAGGAACUGGAAGAAUCAAUUCGACCACUAUAUCCGUAUCUGUUUGAAUCAAUUAAAAUUUCAAGGCCGAAAUUUCUUUUCGGGGGAGAGAGUUGUAACGCUCCAAAAUUUUAAGAAUUUAAUUGUAAGAUUGUGUAGUAAUUAAUUUCUGUAUCUAUGUUUAUGUGCUCUGCUUCUGUGUUUAUGGUCUGGAGUUCGAAUUGCAUCAUUAAAAGUUUUUGGUUCGUUUUGAAAUCAACCCAUAAGCAUGCAUUACCCGCUUAAGUUCGAUUCAGUGUGAAAUUGUGACCAGAAUGAGCCUGCUGCUUCACUGGUUAAGCAUCUGUCUGUAUUCUGUCUAGUUCCGAGUUAACAAAUCUUACUUAACAUACCUCCUAAGCUUAUCCAUAUAUCUUUACAUACUAAAACUUAUACCUUUCCGAGCACAUACAAUGCCUACGGACCCAAAUAUUGAAUCCUUCAAAUAGCCCUUAAUUAAGCCCAAAAAUUGGCUAAAAGUGCCCACACGACCCAAAAAAAUAGCUCGUGUGGUCCACACAGUCUACCACUUGGUCUGCAAAAAUCUCACAUCGUCGUGUGUCCCACAUGGCCUACCACACUAGCUAUGAAAUCACACACGGUCAUGUGCACCACACGGCCUACCACAUGGUCGUAUGUCAUUAGGAAACUCUAAAAAGUAGCCCUGUUAUGCACAUUUUCUGAAUUUCCAAUGAGUUUUUCACGUUAGAUCACAAUCCUGAUUGUUGAGUUGAUAAUCUAUACAACUAACACACUUCAAAACCUGCGAUAAACGUUUAAAUGGACUGAUGACAAUAUAAUUAAAUAUCAUAAUCUCAUUCAAAAACACCCAUUUUCCUUUAAAGAAACCAUCCCAAAAAUCAGCAUUCAGAUACUUACUCCACAAAAGCAUCGAACAUAAUAACAACCACACUGCUAGAGGAUUUGAUUCACAACUCUUUCGCCUAACAAGAACACGAAAAUACUAAUCACAUCAUGGAAUGAAAAUUAUACUAACACAACUCCACCUGAAUAAAAGAAUGAACUAAAAAUAGAAUAUCAGAAAAAGAUAAUUAGACGAAACUUACACUAUGAACAAACUACACUCCAGGAGAAAAUAUCACAUAUGACCACUGGUAGAAAUGGAACGACAGCAAACAAAAAUCAAAGAAGAAUGAGAAAAAAAAAGAAAGAAAAAGAGAAAAAAAUUGAAAAGAAGGGGAGAAAAAAUGUGAGAGUGGGAAGUGGGAGAGAUAAUUCAUAACUACCCACACGCCACUAAUUAACCACCCACGAGAUUCCCUCAUAGUUUAAAACAAAAAUAAUUUUCAUUUUGCACACACAAGGACUCAAACACGGGAUCAAAAGGUAAGCUAAAACCUUUCCAUAAAACUAGCGAGCUAAUUCUUAUCCACAAUCAAGUGAAAGUAAUUUAUAAACCAUAUGUUCAAAUAUAGAGGUUUAGGCAAAAAUAGCAAAAUUUUAAAGAAAUAAAUUUGAACACAAGACCUCACACACACAAACACUGCACUUAACUACUAAACCAAAUCAAUUCAUUUGUUAUAAUUUUCAUAAUCUUAACUAAAAAUUCGGAUGUAACCACUCAUGGUUUCACUAACUCAGUUUUUUCUAACCCGAUCUUUGGAAUGUGACAGCGAGUGUAAUUAUAUUAAUUAGAUUGGGAAAAUAUAUUAUUUGUCUGUCAUUUUAACAGAUGCUUGGUGCGCAUUUGUUUUAAGUGAUUGCAGUAGAAAUUGAUUUCCAUUUUAGCAACAUUAUCCAAUUAAUUAAUUGCCUUUCAAAUUCUAAAAAUUCAGAAAUUCCCUUGUUAUUAUUUUGAUUUGAAUAAAUAAUCCAAAUUGACAAUGGAAACUUAAAUGAAAAUUUAAUCCAUUUUUACCAUGAAAAAUUAAAACCGAUUUUAUAUAAGCUCAAAAUGAUAAGCACAUAAAAUAUUGAAGAGAACUAGGAUGAAAAGUUGGCGUUAAUGGAGCAAAAUGAGAAAGAAAAGUGUGGAUUUUGGGGAAGGGAGGUGUGAAAAUAUAUUAAUUUUAACAAUUUUAAAACAUAUUUUUUAUAAAUUUUUUUAGUAUCCUAUUAUAUAUAUUCUUCAUAAAUUUUAAUAAUUGUGUUGCCAGAAAAGUUUUCAAUGAUUUUCUUUUUCUUGUUAGAAAGAACACUACAAAUUAUUUUACUUACUAAAUCUUUUAAAAAUUUAGGUUUCUUUGCUAUUCCAAAUAGAUUUUAAAAAUUUUGUCAAUUAAAUAUUUUUUAUAUAUAAAAUAAUAAUUCUCUUCAUUUUUAUAACUUAAUUUUCAAAUUUAUUCUCAAUGAUGUUUUGGUUAGUAGAGAGUAAGAUGUUUUGGCAACUUUAAGAUGAUGUUUUUUUUGGUGAAUUACAAGGGGGGAAGCCCUAACAGCAACACAAUUAGCGUGACCUAAACCCAGGUUACACUUGAGGCGGUCAACACCCUUACCACCAAGCUAACACAAGAGGUUUAUGUAACACCCCUAACCCGAAUCUGAUCGCCGGAUUAAGGCUAAGAGGUAUUACCGAACUAAACAUUUAAUUAUCUCAUUCACAUUGUCAAUAAACAUAAACAGAGAUCGAGCUGAAAUACAUACUGAUAUUUAAGUUAUACGCCAUUUUUGUAUGGCCAAAAUAUUUACAAUUUCAAAACAUCGUUAUCAUCAGCCUAACCUAUACAUGCCAUAUCGAGUCCAAAAUAUAACUGUACCCAAAAAGAUCGAUAGUGUGAUGAACUGCUGAUGAUCCCCGAGUCGGUGGCCAAAAUCAACAAUCUAUAAAAUAGGGAAAUAAAGAACAGAGUAAGCUUUCAAAGCUUAGUAAGUUUUAAGCAUCACAAACAAUUAAAGACUUAUCGAAAAUCGAAACAUUCAUUUAAACAGACUUAUUCUCAAUUCAAAUUGCUUCAUGGCCAAAUACACAUAAACAUAUACAUAGAUUUCUCAGCACAUAUUUUUCUUCUACUUAAAGUUCAUACGAUGCAUUUAAAUCAAACAAUCUCAUAUAUUAACAACAUUUGACCGAAUAGAUCAUUGUUUUACUCGAAGAAGAUAUAACAAUCAUUCACACUUAAGUAUCAUUCUUUAAUGCUAAUAAUUCACAAAAUCAUUGACUGAACGUACAUGAGUACAUAAAAAAUUUUAACAUAUAAUUCAUAUACAAAUAUACCAUGACCGAUUAAAUCAUUCUCAUAUUCGUAAAUAUAACCAUCAAUCAUAUUUAUAUAUAUAUUCUUCUUUGAUGUUAAUGAUUCACUUCGAAAUCAAUUCACCGAUGAGUAAGUAAUACGUACCUGAACAUCUUAAAUGUAUAGCACUUACUCGACGAUGGUUUACUGCGAACAUUCAAUAUCGUAAUCUUACUUAACUUACUGGCAUUAAGCUUGUCAGGUCUUAGAACUUGAAACCAAUUACCAGCACAAGCCUGCAAGAAUUUAAACCCGGUAUAAUACCAGCUCGAAGCCUGCGGGACUUUAGCCCGGACAUAUUUCCAGCACGUAGCCUGCGGACCUUAAGUCCGGUUAUAAUUCCAGCACAUAGCCUGCAGACCUUAAGUCCAGAUAUAAUUCCAGCACAUAGCCUGCGGACCCUAAGUCCGGAUAAACAUCACUGAAUGUCAUGCAUACUUAUUCGCAAGAAAACUCAAUUCACAUAACAUCUCACAAUCAUAGUUCAUUUAUUCCAUUCGAAUAAUAGCAUAACAUGGGCACCAUUCAUAUAACUUUUGGCUCAAUAACAUACAUAAGAAUAUAUGUCCAUUUUACUUUCUAAGUUUAACUUCUAAUGUCUAUUCGGCUUUAAGCCUUAAACAUAAAUUAUUUGUCACUCAACUAUAUUCAAAUAGAAUCAAUAGAUCGCAGUGCAGUUAUCAUACACAUAUCAAGACAUUAUCAAUUACGUACUAAAUGUGGCUAUUCAAAACUUACCUCGGAUAUACUUGAACGGUUACAGAAAGGCUACUCAAUUACUUUCUGUUUUCCCCUAUCCAACUUCGACCCUCUUUGCUCUUGAGCUUAAUUAAAACAAAUAGAUUUGUUUAAUUACUUAACCAAUAUUAUUUACUUAUUAAUCACAUUCGGCAAUCACAUAUCAAAUUCAAUAUGUAUUAUAAUUUAUAUAAAUAUGCCAUGAUUCAAAUUUCAUAUUUAUUUAUAACCGAAAAUGGCAAGAACUUAUCAAGCCAUGAAAAUCACUUAUAGCUCAAACACAAAAUGAUCAUAUAACCCUAAUGACCGAUUAUUCAACUUAUACCUAGUUCACAUACACAAGCAAAACUCACAUAGCUUAUCUUGCUUUCUUAUACACAAAUUUAACUAUCGCAAAUAUUUUAUCAAGAAACACCCUAAUCAUUUUAGCCAAAUUUUCUAUUACCAAAUAAAUCACAUAUAUAUAACACUACUCAUUACACAUAUACAUCAACUAUAAAAAAUUCUCACUCCUUAGCUAUUGCCGAAUGCUUAUAUAAGUCUUGAGUCAUCUUUAACACAUUUAUCAAUCUUCUAAUUCAACUUAAUACAAAAAUAAUAUCAUUUAAACAGCUAACACCAAAACAUUUGUUCAAAUGGACCUAGCCGAAUACCCCACUUAGCUAAAUGAUUCACACAAAUCACUAAUAGCCAACUCAAAUUCAUCCUUAAUUUCUCCUAUAACGAAAUUCAUCAAAAUUUAAUAAGAAAAUAAAUCAAAUUCCAUGACCGAAUUUGCAUUUAUAAUAAAACAAAAUCCUUGCAUCUCGUCAAUAUGUCUAAUUGCAAAAUUGCUUAAUUCAUCACCUAAGCAACAUGAAACUCCAUUACAAUCACAAUUAUUCAUUCCUUAAAACCAACAUUCAACUAUCAAUAAUUUAGCAAAACUCAUGUAAAUGGCUGAAUGCUAUAUCCUCAACCAAAACUAAAGUUUUUACAUGGGCUACGUAGGAAACUAUGUAAUUAACUAAAUUUUCACAAGAAUUUGAAGAUAGCACAUGAAACAUUCCUUAAUUUGGAUGCUAAAAUAGCCGAAAGUUUGAUCUCUCCUAUCCCCUCUUUUUUUUUUUUUAAGAAAUCGGCAAUGAAGAACAAAAGUAAUUAACCUUGUUGUUUUCACCCAUUUACUUAUUUUAUUAUAAUAUAAAAUUGUUAUUACAUAUUAUAAUACAUUUAUAUAUAUAAAUACAUAUAAAAUUUAUAUUUUUUCAACUACUAAACCACAUGGCCGGCCACUAUGAAAAAAAAAUGGCAAUUUGACAUGCAUAUCCUUAUGAUUUUUAAACUAUAUAGAAAUAAGCCAUCACAUAAAUACCUAGCACAUUUUCAAAAUUCUCACACAAGUCCCUUUCAAUAAAUUUCAAUCAAAGCACCACAAAUUCACAUAUGCAUUUUCACACAAAUUAAGCACAAAAUUUAACAUUCAAUUAUUUUCACAAUUCGGUUUAGUGGUCCCGAAACCACUUCCCGACUAGGGUCAAAUUAGGGCUGUCAUAGUUUAACUUUAAGGUCAUGUUUAAUUAUUAGUAUGUGUGGAUUUGGUAUUUGUAAUUAAAUCUAUCUUGUGUUAAGGUUUUAAAUAUUAAUUCUAUCUUAAAUAUUUUGUUUUUUUGAAUAUUUAAGAAUAUAAAAUUAAAAACCAAAAAAAGAAGAAGAAGAAGCAACCUUCUACUUUAAUAGUGGAAAAUAAAUACAUAGCCUUUUUGUUAAUUUAAAAAAAAAAACUCUCUUCUCUCUCAUCAAUAUUUAUCUUCAUUCUCUUUUCUUUAGUAAGUUGUUUUACUUCCUUGUUCUUCUUUGUUUUGCUAUUUUGAAACUUUUAAUGCUUCAAAUCUUUCUCUUAUAAAAUAUACAUUUUAUAUUGAUUUUUGAAAAUAUAAUUUUUUUUAAAAUUAAUUUAAUGUUUUUAAUUAUUGCAUUAUGUUGAAAUAUUAACAGAUAGAGAAAGAACACAUGAACCUCAUAGAAUCAAAGAAGAAAGAAUAUCAAAGAGAAGAAAGAAAUAAAGAUUUUUUAACUAAGUUCAACAUGAAUACAAAGAACCUACAUCCAUAUUAUUUAUACUAAGCUUUAACAAGGAAGAUUGAGUAACAACUUGAACCAACUAACUCAAUAACUUACUAACAACCUAAUUACUACAGGAGUUCAUUUUGCUUAACUUCUACUGCUGCUCAUUCCUUAACAUUCAUUGAACCUCCUGGUUGCUAUUGAAGCUUGCGAACAACUCAAUUACGAACACCUUGAUUGCUACAAUUUAAUCCUUAACAUGCACUACACAUUCUGACUGUUGAAACUGUGAAUACCUGGCUCAUGAACAAGCAACUAGUCACUCUUGUAAACCAUCUUAAGUCUAGCUCGAACAAAAGACAAAUCAAGUUCCCCAUGUUUGAACUUUGAGUGUAAAACAUGAUUUGCGGAAAAUGUAACACCCUUAACCUGUAACUGUCUCCGAAAUAGGGUUACAAAGAAUUACCAAAGUUUACAAAACAUUUCUAGAUGAACUGAAGUCAUUUACUAUUAAUUUUCCGAGAAUAAUCAUAACGUCCCUUGAAUGGACCUUCGAGGCCAAAAACAUGCAUUAGAAAUGAAUUGGGACUAAACCAGAAACUCUGAGAAAUUUUCCUGAAAUUUUAAAAUUUUCUUAGGUACAGGGCACACACGCCUAUGUGGUCAAGCCGUGUGGCUCACACAGCCGAAUGACAUGCUCGUGUCGUAGGCCAUAUGCUACUUGAGUAGGGCACACGCCCAUGUCCCUAGCCCGUGUAAUUCUCUGUCUUAUAAUUUAUUUUAGGCGCAGGGGUUACACAGCCAAGUCACAUGCCCGUGUGUCAGGCCGUGUGUAACACAUGGUCAAGACACACGCCAUGUGUCUACCCGUGUGGACAAAAUAAGGCUAUUUUCCAAGCCUUAUUUCUCACCUAUUUAGUCUUCCAUCUACACCAACACUUAAACACAUUCAAGGUCCAAUUCAAGACAUUUAACCAAGCCCUAAUCAAGUUUUAUGUUUCAUAUAUCUUCACCUAUAUUCAUAUAUAUGCAAGUUUACUUAUUUCUUCCAUUUCAUAGAUAAGCAUAAUUUAUCAACUUAGUUAUAUCAUUCAACUCAUCCAUGUGUUUACCUCUAUUUACUAUUUACACUCUCAUAUCAUUAACAUAUUAAGACUGUAUAUAGAUGUACGUCUCAAUAUAUCAAAAACAAGCCAUAUCAAUGGCUAGUUACAUUCAUAACAUGUUAUAUACCAACAUUGGUUAAUUAACCUAUACAUGCCAUUAUAACCGUAAUUGAUUUACCAUUCAUACCAAGAUGGGCCGAUGGAUAGUGUGAGUGAUCUCCUCUAAUACUUCCAAUCCCUCGAGCUUCCGAAUAAUUAUAGAGCAAAGGAAAAUAAUUAUGCUUAGUAAGCCUGUAUAACUUGGUAAUUAACUCACCAUUCAUUAUUACUCACAAUAAACAUGUAAAACAUAUUCAGUCAAUUUGAUCACGAGCCCUACCACACAUCCUCACCACCUUUGUUAGUCAUAUAAUUAAUAUAUAUAUCGGGAAACAUAUAUGGGCACAUCAUUCAUUAGAUUUCAAUAUGCAUGUGUUCAUAUAACAUAUUCAAGACAUACCCUUGUAAUUCAAGUAUGUUUUUAUAAUAAUUUGCCUUGAAUUCAGAUUAUUUCGUGUCGAAAAUUUGCCAUUAAAUCAUAUGAAAUAUCUUUAUCAUAUGAUUAAUAUGCUUGAGGCUUACAAUUCUAUACUCAUGAAUGAAUACUUUGAUCAAACAACUUCCAUGUUUGUAUAUCAUCAUCUCAUAUUUCCAUAUAUCAUUUAUUAUCAUUUUCAUGUAUUUUCAGGCAGGUACACGUACUAAUUCAUUUCAUGUUCAUAUUUUUCUCAUAUCAAGAUUUUGCCUGUUGAAUUUAGUAGAAAUAUCGAUGGAUACUCUCAUGUAGUACACUUUAAGUGUACAAAACUCUCGAGCCACCUUUUCAAGUCAUUCGGGAAAAUCACAUACUUCGAUGCUCACACAGAGCUACGGUAGUCCACAACAUAUGUAGAAUUACUACCAAUCUCCACACUUAUACCUCGAUGCUCACACAGAGCUACGGUAGUCCCCAACAUAUGUGGAAUUACUACCAAUCACUAUAUUUGUAAAACUUUAUAUCAUAAUGCUCGAGAGACUUACCAGGAUUACUCGUCCGAGCUAAAUCCUGUCUGCAACACAUGCAGAAUCACCUUUACACUAAUCCAUCGAAAUUUCCUUCAUUCAACCGGGACUUAUUCCUUUUCUUAAGUCAUGUUGAACAUACGAUCAUAUAUUUUUAUAUAUUAAAUAUUCAAAACACCUAUUUCAAGUAUAUAUUUAUAACUUUUUUCAUUUAAUCGGAACUUAAUACUUAUAAAUCAUCAUUGGAUAUGUAAUUAUUUUCAGACACAUGACAAUAAUACAAUCACAUACACAACACUUAAUUCAAACAUAUAUUUAUAACAUUUUUUCAUUUAAACAAGGUUUAACAUUUAUCAAGUAUAGUCGGGCAUGUGAUCAAUUUAUACAUAAAGCAUUCAUACAAUUCACACAUACAACAUUUUUCAAGCAUAAAAUAUUCUCAAUUUGGUUAAACGAACUUACCUCGACAAAUGUUCGUGUACAUAAUAUCUACUAAACCUUUAUUUUUCUCUUUUCCUUGUUCUAACUCCAAAUUUGAUCUUCCCGAAUCUAUAUUAAUAAAUUCAACAUAAAUUCAUGUUUAUUUCAAUUCAAUUUAUAUCUUUAUAAAAUUACUAUUUUGACCCUAACUUUUUAAUAAAUAACGAUUUCAUCCCUAAGCUCGGAAAAUAAAAUUCAUGCAAUUUAUUCUUUGUUCCUAGCCUAAAUAUUUAUAUAUAUAUCAAUAUCAGCCCUUGAAUUCCAUGAAAUUUCAUAAUUUUCCAUAAAUUCAACAACUUUACAAUUUAAUCCCUAAAUCAUGAUUUCACUUAAAAUUCUUUAAUAAAAUACCUUUACAUAUCCAUUAACAUCUCAAUUUCAUCAUCAAAUAACUAAAAUAAUAUGAACUUAUCAAUGGUAUCUUCCAAAAAUUCCAAAAAAUAAAAAACUAAUGAAAUAACAAGUUGGACCUAAUUGUAAAAGUCCAAAAACAUAAAAAUUUCAAGGAAAAAGAAAGAAUUGAACUUACUUGAAGCUAAAAUAUGAAAUACCAGCUCAAACCCUCUUCAAUGGCCAUUUUUGACAGAAAAUUGAUGAAGAAAAUGUCUAGAAACUAUUAAAAUAACAUUUGCCCAUAUAAACUUUAUUUUAAUUCCAAUUUUGUCCCUAAUCACAUAAAUAUAUUUGAUUUUUUUCACGUUAUGCCACCUCAGCCGUUUAAGAUGGUAUAUUUUCCCUUUUAGUCCUCCUUUAUUUACUAUUAAGCUAUUUAAUUACUUUAGCAAGUUUUGCACCUUUUUUUUAAAAAAUUUAGUCCUUUUUAAUUAAUUGACUACUGAAACGUUAAAAUUUUUUGAUGAAACUUUAAUACUACCAUUGACACUCCGUAAAUAUUUAUAAAAAUAUUUAUAGCUCGUUUUAUAACACCAAGGUCUCGAUAUCUCUUUUUCUGAAUUAAUUGACCUAAUAAUUUUUUAUAAACACAAAUUUACUAAUUCAAAAAUCUUUUAAAAACCACAUUUAACUCAUAAGUAUUAAAUAAUAAAAUUUAUGAGUUCAUUUACCGAAUUUAGUGGCCUCAAACCACAGUUUCCGGCAUCACUGAAAUUCGAGCUAUUACAAAAACUAUUGCCCCAAAGUUAUCACACCAAGCAAACUACCUUUGCCACAAUUGGAUCCUGCAACUCAGACAACAAAGAUUCUAACCAUGCUAUUUCAAUAGUUUCAUGUACAAGACUCCUAUACUCAGCUUCUACUAUGGACCACGAAACAACUUGUUUCUUUUUAGACGCCCAAGAGAUUGGAUUGGCUCUUAGAAACACAAAACCCCAUAGUAGACUUCCUAUCACCCGAAUUAGUACCCUCAAUUUGCAUCAGAAUAACCAACAAAGGACAAACGAGAACCAAUAGUGAAUGAGAUUCCAUAAUCUAAAGUAGCACAAAGAUACCUUAGAAUAUGUUUUACAACCUUAAAAUGUUGAUCUAAAGGUUUGUGCAUGAACUGACAAACCUUGUUGACAAGAAAAGAAAUAUCAGGCCUUAUGAUAACUAUAUAUUGAAGAGAUCCCACGAUACUUCUGUACACAAAUUCAUCCUCCAUGGAGCUGUCUACAUGUGCAGCCAAACUGUAAGACAUGUCUAUAGGGUGGGAGAACCUUUUGCCUGAUUGAUAUGAUUCUUCCUCAAUAAAUCAUCUAUGUAUUUCCUUUGAGAAAGAAACAAACCAAUAAAAGUAUAAGAUACCUCUAUACCUAAUAAGUAACUUAAUUUUUCAAGUUCUGAACAAACUCAUCAAUACCAGUCUGACUACUACCAGUGAUAAUUAUGUCAUCUACAUAGACAAGAACAUAGAGGACCAUAUCUCUUGUCUGCUUGAUGAAAAGUGUAACACCUCUAACCCGUACCCGUCGCCGGAGGGUUAAAGAGUAUUACCAAACAAGCACGAAAUUUCAUUUAACUAUAUUUGAAUAACUCCCGAUGUCACACUUAUAAAACCGAAUUCCAAAUUGUUUUUUUUUUCAAUUAUACAAUAUACAAAAGAGUCAUAUCAAGAUAAUGGGCAUAUUGAUUCAUUCUUAAGUUCAAUUCACAUCAAAACAUUGAAAACAUUAAUCAAAUAUCAAACGGACAUUCACAUUAACUAUAUGGAAUACUAGUAACUUAACAAGCCAUUUUUGCAUGGCUAUACAUAUAUACAUCAUCAAAAAGAUACUUAUUUAACAACAAAAAGACAAGCCUAUACAUGCCAUUAUCGAAGUUUAACUACUAGAGUACCGAAUGGGCUUAGAUAGUGUGGACGAC
rnacentral:lncRNA from 1 species